rnacentral:lncRNA from 1 species
UUUUUUUUUUUUUGCUAUUAGUUUUUCAUUGGUUUUGCUACACUUAAAACAAUUUUUUUUACAGAUGAUGUCAUUUAUGACAUCGUGCUUAUGUAGCAUGCCACAUAAGUUAUUUUGUUGACAUGCAAUUUGAUUGACGGUUAACUCAUAUUUAUCGUUAAAAUUGGGUUGAUUUCUAAAAAGUUCGUAACGUUAAGUGUGACAAUCAAAAAGUAAAAAAGGUUAAAGGCUAAAACUCAAAAAUUCAUAAAUAUUGAAGGUAUUUUUUACAAUUAUGCCAAUAAUUAAGCAUGAUAAAUACAGGAUAAUAUAAAAAGGAAGCCGUUUUAUUUUUUGUCCAACCAAUCUCUAAAGAUAAAUAAGGCAAAUAAAAUGUCAAGUGAUUGCACAAACUAACUUGUCAUUAAAAAAAAAAUCUAAGAAAUUUGCUACAAAUUCUAAAUAAAUUAACAUCCCUACUAACCCUUUUAAUGUAUAUAGUUUAAAAUUAUGUAAUAAAAUAUUUCUUCUAAAUUGAAUUAUCAUGAAAAUGAAGACAGGAUCGUGUUUUAAACAAAUUAAUAGAUGAUACAAACACAAUAUAUAAAUAUACUUAAAAUAUGAUAAUAUAUGUAUAAAAUUAUUAAUUUAUAAAGAAAACAAAUAAGUUUAAAACAAAAAUAAUAAUAAGAAGGGAAAGAAAAACAAAUUUGCUAUUUUUCUUCCUUUACUCUCUCUUUCUUUUUAGCUAUUUUCUUUUAAUCCCCUCUCUCCCACCCAUCCCCAUUUCCCCACGUUGCAGCUGAAAAUAACAAAAUGCCGCCCGUCACAAAUUAGAGCUUGGACAUCUCUACUAUCCUCGUGUUUGCUACUUUUAUAUAUAUUAUUAGGUUUAUGUAAUUUCCAUAAAUUUAAAUUUUAGUUUUUAUAUUUUAUUUUUAAGAAUUUAAUCUCUUUAUUAAAUUUUAAAAUGUAAAUUCAAUUAUUUAAAAUUGUUAAUUAUUUUUUAUUAAAUUCAAGUUUAUUGUAAUAUCUUUUUUUUAGUUAUAUGAUUAUCAAGUGAGUAUUUUUUUAUUUUAAAAUAUCACACUAACAAAUUUUUUAAAAAAAUAUUAAUAAUUAUACCUAAAAUUUGAAAUCUAAAAAAUAAAAUAAUUAAAUUUCUGAAUUUUUAAAUUAUAAAAAAUAGAGAGACUUAUUGAAUAUUUUAACAAUUUGUUUUUAAAAAAAUUUAAUGAAGUCGAUCCUAUCCAGUUAAGUUUGGCAAAAACGGAUUGAUGAGAAAGCAGAGAAAUUUUAUGGUAGCAAAAGUAAAAGUAAAAUUAAGACUUAUAUCGUCGAGCUAAAGGAAAGAUAUUUUGCUCAAACCCCAAAAAAAAAAAGAAAAAAAAAAGAAAGAUAUUUUGGGUUUGGAAAUGGUAGCUUUGGUUGUUUUGAAAGAUAACCCCACCAAUGGUUUUAGCACAGUAGAGGGCUGAAUUGGAAUCAAACACCAUAAAUUGCCUAUCCAACUGCCAUGUCAGCACUAUCUAGAUCAACUGAAUGAGUGGUUGUGUGGGUGCAAACGCGCAACACAAACCAUCUCCACAUCCUCAUUUCAGAAUUAUCUCAUUUUUUUUUCUUACAACAAAAAACCAGAAAAAAUAAAUAAAUUUAAACAAACCACCCAAAUUGCAUCAUUUUCCCAUUUCAUUAGCCUCUCUCAGAUCAGAACUAGAGAGUUUACAUCCUGGUAAGAGGUUGAGUUGCCAUGGCUUCAGCUUCCUCCAAUUCACUAUCAAUCUCACCCUCAUCCACCCUCGUGGAUGCCAAAGCUCCUCGUCAACCAACUGCUGCAUCCCCACAAUGUGUCACUCUUCCUACUCUUCCUCCCCCACCCGUUCAGUCCCAGAGUCGUCCCUGGAAGACCACUGCCUACUGUAAGUUCAUAGACUAUCUAUAUCACACACUUGACAUGCAUCAACUAGUAUACCAAAUGGUCUUUCCACUUUUUGCAGGUCGCAAGAUUGCUCGAAAUGUGAUGGCUAUGGCCACUGGUGAGACUUUGGCCACGCGUGAAGCUCCAACCGAAGUUACCCCAACUGAGCUGACAGAGUUUAUCAACAAAAUACAAGAAACCGUAAGAAUCUCGUCUCACGUAUUGUUCAUUUCCCUGUUUUUGUACCUUCUCACAACACACGCAUGUGGUUGGUUUUUAGUGGGAUAAAGUUGAGGACAAGUACGCAGUGAGUUCACUUGCUGUAGCAGGUCUUGUUUUGGUCUGGGGUACUGCUGGAAUGGUCUCGGUGAGAUUCAAAAUAUGCAGAUUGUCUUAAGCCUUAAACAUUAUACUAGAAAAAGUUGAAACACCGACAAUUAAAUUAGUGAAACGGAUAUCCUCUGUUACAGGCAAUUGAUAAGCUUCCUGUGGUUUCCACAUUUCUUGAGGUCGUGGGUAUUGGCUACACUGGGGUAUGCUGAACUCAAUUAUCAAAGCUUUUACAUUCAGAAAUUCCCAUUUUCUUAGGCAUUUUGUGUUCUCUUAUUGCAGUGGUUUGCAUACAAAAACCUUAUUUUCAAGCCAGACAGGUAAGCUCAACUUAAUCUCUUGGUUCCAAUUCAUCGCAUUACAUAUUUACAUGUAAUUGUAAAAGAAAUCCCAUUUUAGUGAUGAGUUUUCUCUCAUCCUAAUUAAAAAUUUAGGGCCGCUCUGAUAAGCAAAAUAAAAGACACAUACAAAGAAAUACUUGGAACCAGCUAGAGGGAAACUGGGCAGUUGUUAAUAAAGGAUGGUGCUGAGAUGAGGCGAAGACGAGAAUAUACCUGAAGCCCAAUACUUGCAGCACUUGCUUCAGUUUGUCAGUACAAAGUUCUAACAAAAGUAAACCGAUGUGAUGUGGUCUUGUGGUGGGCUUAUAUAUUUUUAUAUUUUCCCCUAUGUGUAGAAUAAAAAGAAUCUUGAUUGCUCCCUCACCUUCUUGAGAUAACUUUGUAAACUUUUGAAAUGAUUUUAAUAUCCUCUUCAUUUGAAUUUUGAUAUAAUUUCAGUAACUUAAGAUACAAUUAUUCAUAUACCCCCAAAACAUAAAUUCAAGCAAAGAUUAUGUCAGAUGGCUUAUCUACCUUUAGACAAAAUGCACUCAGUCACAUAAUCCCUAGAGGCGAGACUUACACGCAAUGGAUUAAAAUUUCUGAAUAGCACUUUAGACAUUGGAUCCAAGGUUACAUAUAAAUUUGGUAGGAAUACUAAAUCUAUAGGAGUACUAUGAAUUAAAUCUUUAUUUCUGGUAACGCAUAUAAUGGUACUUAAAAAGACAUAAAGACGAAGGAUUGGGUGUUCUUAAAUUUUAAACAUGUCUAAACAUGUUUCAGAAUUGAGACCCCGUUUCCAGAAGCUGUGGUAGUAUUCACUGUAUGAAAAGUUCCUGUAUAAGGGAGGAUGAUGGAGGGGGUCGAUUAGUUUCGGAGCUGGUCCCAUCACGGCGUCGGUUGAUGGGCAAUAGAACGUUGGAAUGGAGAUCCUCUCUUCCUUGCAAUUCACCACUGCCCGAUGAAGCACGCUUUUAUAACUAUCAUUGCUCAGUACCUGGUAUUUGAUCUACAUAAUUAGUUUAUACAACCACUUGGAACAACUGGGGCUGACCUUGUGGAAUUUCAUAAUUUAUAUAUAGCCAUCUAAAAUUCUAGAUUAUCAAGUUGAAAAACCAACCACCCAUGUAUUUAACUUUUACAAUAAAAAAUGGAGGAAAAGUGAUUACAAAAGCUACAUGGGUCUUCAAGUGAAUUUAAAAUGUAGGUCAAAGUUUUUGUAAACGUUAUUUAAAGCAAUAAUAUUUCAUCAAUUAGGUCCUUUCUUCGGCUAGCGAAUGUUAACUCAAAUAUGAGGUGGAAAACAUCUAAAACACUGUAGAUAUUAUUAUUAAUAUUUGUGUAUCUACUUCAUAGAUAGUUUGAAGAUUAUUUGUUAAAAAUAAUAUCCUCCUAAAUUUAAUGACAUUACAAUUUUUUCAAAAAUAAAUGUUAGAUCUAAGAUGUCCAUGUUAUAGUAUACAUACGAGUUUAUAAUUUAAUCCAUGUCAAAUCUAAAAUAACAUUUAAUGCCUAAAUCGUCGAUUAAAAUGACAAAAAGAACUAAUUAAUAUGAUAUUGAUAUUUUGAAAACUUAAUUAUAACAUUUUUAAAUUUAAAAAUCGAUUUAAAUUUUGAGCAAUAAUUUAGGAAUGUUAGGUGCAGUUAAUCUUUAAUAUUAUAUUAAAAUGCAUAUGAUUGUUUCCCAGAAAAUUCCUGUCUUUUACACUCUCCAUUUAAAAUGUAUAAUUGACUAAGCUUUAUGACUAUAUUGUACUAGGUUUGGUAAUAAUGAUGACCAAUUAAGCAUAAAAAGAAACUGGUAAUUAAUUAGUGGUGCAGUGGCAAAUUUUAAGACUUCCCAUAUAUGUAGUAAUCCUCUAACCUGUAUCUGAUCACCGAUAUUGACAAUGAAGGUGUAGGGAAUGGGGUUGACAGCAAUCCACUUUCCAUCUUUGAGCACUUGCAGACCAGGCACCUCGUCUUGAAGGAGAAUGGUAAUAGCAUUAGGAUCUGCAUGAACAGGCAACCCAUAGGUGAGCUCUGGCUCGGGACACGGUGGGUAGUAGUUGAUAGCCAUGUGCUGUGCAUGCUUUCCAAGUGCUGAAUUGAUGUAAUCCCUUUCUAGAUCUAAGCUUUCUGAUAUUGCUUCAAGCAGUCUCACUGCCAGCCUUCUGGUGAUCUUGCAGUACUCAGAAGUAUCUUCUCUGUGAAAUAAUUGAAAACGACAUAUAAACUAAAACCCUUGAAGAUCUAGGUAAUAAUUAAUUAAUAAACAUAUUGUGAAACCUGAAAGAUGGAGGGUUGGUUGGCCAUUCAUGAACAUAGUCUUCCAAAGGGUAGCAAUGGAGUCUCAAGUAAUCCCUCCAGCUUGAUACAUUCUCAGUUCUCACAUUAAAACUCGUAGAAAGUCUCGUGGUCUUCAUAGGGUCAUCAGAAUAAUUCUUCAAUCGCUCACUCUCCGGUAAAUGGAAGAAUUGUUUCGAGACAUGCAACAUCUUACCGAUCACCUCUUUCGAAACGCCAUGGUUUUUAACCUUCACACAGAUUAACGUUACUGCUCAACCCUUUUUCUUUACAGAAAAGUAAAUUGGGAGUGCAGGCAGAAACUGAGUUAUCAUUUAUAUAUAUAUGUAUAUAUCCAUUCAUACCUGAAAGAAACCAUAAUUUCGGCAGGCAUCGCCGAUGGCUCUGACAACGGUAGAGCGAUUGGGGCCAUCAUCAAAGUGCUGGAGAUCAACGAGAGGUAUGGAAUGAUCAAAGGUAACCUCAUCGACGUUUGGACGAUCUGACUCAGGUCAAAUGAAAUUUUGAGGAAUGGAACUCACAGUUGAUACAAGGUCGGUUAAUAGCGGCUUCAUUGGAGGAUUAAUGGAAGUUGAAGAUAACACUUGUUUUUAUCUUUGCCUAAUAAUUAGUUGAAUUUGUGCGAUGGUGUUGCUGAUGGUAAACAAACUAAUUUAUAGAGGCCUGUGGCUUAGAAAUCAUCAAAAUGAUGUCGUUGUUAUGAAUAUUUUAUUUAGUAUAUUUUAAAUUCUAAUAGUUAUUAAAAUUAGAUCUCUAUUUCUUUUAUAAUUCUUAUAUCUAUUUCUUUUAUAAUUCUUAUACCUAUAAAUAAAGGCUCUAAUGAAGCAUUGUAAAUCUUUCAUUUUGAUCAAUAAAGUACCUUCUCUAUUGCUUUCAUAUUUUUUUUUGUUCUUUAUUCACCUCAUCUCUAUUUAUUUUAUAACACGUUAUCAGCUUUCAAACUCGUCCCCCAAAUCCAAUUCCUCUUUCAUCUUAAACUUUCACUCUUACAACUUCAUCUGCAGGAUGUUGAAAGAUUCAAUCUCAUAAUGGAUCAUGGUGAUGACGAUGAUAUUAAAGGUCUUCAUAUAUAUUUUAUUUAUUAUAUCAUGUUUAUUAUAAUUGGAGACUGAUCAUGACAACAUGAAUAGAUAGAUUUUAAUUUAAAAUCUAUGUAUGUUUGUGAUGGUGAUUAUGAAAUAAACAAUCUAUUGGGACGUUUAUAAGUUCGUCCUAGUAAACCUAUUGCUUUCAUCAAAGUGAAUGUAAACAUAAAGAAAAUAAAAGAUAUACUCAUAGACCACUAAAAGUGGGAACAUAUUAAUAAAUAAAAGAACAAUGAGAGUUUUCAAUAUAACUUUUCAAAGAGUAAAGAUAACUUUUGUUAUCAAUGUGAUAUGAAAAGAUUACUAGCCACAUGGCAUAUGCCUAAAUAUUUUGUUUCUAUUAAGGCUCUGUUUGUUUCAUUGAAAAUGUCUUCCGGAAAAUAAUUUCUGGAAAAUGAUUUAUUUUUCUGGAAAAACAAAUAUUUUCUGGUAUUUGAAUGAAUUUGUGUAAAAUAUUUUCUGUUGUUUGGUAGAUUUCUUAAAAAUAUUUCAUAAAAGUUGUUUUCAAUUGAACAAACAUAUAUUUAAGAUUUUCUUAUUUUUUCAUUGUUUAAUUGAAUUUAUUUUUAUCUAUAAUUUUAUAUUUACAUUGUAUUUACAUAUAUUAAAAAUAUUAUGCUAAAUUUAGAUUCAUUAUAACGUCAUUAAUUACAUGACUACUAAGUGGAUAUUUUUAUUUAAAAAUGUGACAUAAACAAAAUUGACAAAAAAAAUUAACGAUGUCAACAAUUAGACUUAAUUUUCAAAUUUGAAAAGUAAAUGGACUAAAUUCUUGAAAAUAAAAGUACAAAGACAAAAUUACAAAUAUGUGAACUGUACAUAGACUUAUAACAUAUUUUAACCUUUAUAUUACAAAACAUUUAUUAUUAAUAUAUUUAUAAUUAUAAUAAAUAUUUAUUAUUAAAAUAUUAAUAUUGAAUAUUUUUAAUAAUAUGUGAAUAAUAUUAUUUAAAAUUAUUAUUUUUAAAAUUUAUUAUUAAAAUAAAAUUGAAAUAUUUAAAUAAUUUAUUAAAAUAAUAAUUUAUAUUUAUUAUAUUAAUAAUUUAUUAUACUACUAAAUAUAAAUAAUUAAAUAUGUAUGUUUAAUAAUAUUGAAAAAUAUAAUAUUUUAAAUAUUUUUAAAAAUAAAAAUAAAAUUUAUUAUCAAUAUAAUAAUAUUAAGCUUGAUUUAAGUUAAUUUUUAUAUAAAAAUAAAAUUAUCUAUAGAUGAGCUCUUUUCCGGAAAAUGACUAACGCUUUUCAAAAGGGUAAGUCAUUUUACAAGAAAAGGGGCUUAUUUUACCUUGACUUGGAAAUCAUUUUCCGUUGACCAAACUAUUUUCUGUGAAACAAACACACGAAAAUGCAGAAAACAUUUUCCGUAAAACCUUUUAUAUGUAAACAAACGGAUCCUAAUAUUCUUUAAGGAAGAUAUGAAAAUGUAGAAAUGAAUUCUAUAAUUACAAAUAGAAAAUAUUUAACUUAUUUGGUACUGAAACAAACAAAUAUUAUUCCAAUAUUUGAUAGUACAAAAUUAGUUGAAAGCUCCAGAAGAGCUAAUAUGUCACUAUCUAAAAAGCACAAAAUUUGUGAUGGUUAAUGCUUUACUUUUAAAAGUUCUUUGUAAUGGAUCUCAUAUUGAGAUUGUGAAUGAGGAAAAUAUUAUAUUUCAUAUGAAUAAUGUAACAGCCUAAUUUUCAGUGGUAUCGGGAAUAGAGAUUUGAGAUCACCAAAUCCGACGGGCGAGUUAAAAAUUUAAUAAAUUAAUACCUAUGAGUCAAAUGCGAAUAUAAAAGUAUUUUUGAAUUAGUGAAUUUGGUGAUUUAAAAGAAUUAAUUAGGUAAAUUGGGUCAAGAAUGAGGUAUCGAGACCUCAACUUCAUAAAUCGAGCCAUAAAUAUUUUUGAAAUAUUUAUGGAGUGUUGGUGAGGUAGUAUUAAAAUUUAGUCAGAAAAUUUUGACGUUUGGGUGGUUAAUUAAAUAAAAAGGACUAAAUUGAAAAGGGUGUAAAAGUUGCUAGAAGGAUUAAAUAGCUCAAUUAUCAAAUGAGGAAGGACCUAAAGUGAAAAUAGUCCUAAAGGAGAUAUUUUGGGCGGCAAUAGCUGAGAAAAAUCAGGAAAUGGAUGAAAUAAGGGCAAAAUUGGAAAAUUGCCAAAAUUGGCUAAAUAAAAAUGGGACUAAAUUGGAAUAUCUAAAAUUCUCUUCAUUUCUCUUCAUAUUCAUCAGCUGAAAAACAGCCAUGGAGGAGGGUUCAAGCUGGUUUUCAUACUCUAGCUUCAUGUAAGUUUAAUUCUUGCUUUCUCCUUGAAAUUUUUAUGUUUUUGUGACUUUUACAACUAGGUCCACUUGUUGAAUUCAUUAGUUUUUGAUUCUAUGAAAGAAAUUGAAAGUUGAUAUGAAUAUGUGCUGGAAGUAUAUGAUGAUUUGGAAUGGAAUUAGAGCUUUAAAUUAUUUAUAUGCUGAUUUUAUUGAAAGAAUUGAAUAGAAAGUGAAUGUUUGGGACCUAAUUGUAAAAGAGUUUGAAGUUAGAGUUUCAUAUGGAAAUUAUGAAUUUAAAUAGUUAUGAAAUAACUUAUAAUGUCUAGAAAAAGUAUUAAUUUAGAAAGUUAUCUUAAUUGAGGGGUUAAUUGAGUAAGGACUGAAUUGUAUGAAUUGUGAAAUUUGGGGCAAAAUGAAAAUCAACAUUUUGCACUAAAACUGUUUUAGACAGCAGCAGUAGUCUAACUCUGAAAAAUCACCAAAAAUUAUAGAAAUCGAAUUAUAGGAUGAAUAAAAUAUGAAAUUAAAGCUUAUUGAGUCUAGUUUCUUAUAAAAGAAAUUAUGUAAGCAAUAGAAUUGUAAAUCUUGAGAUACAAUAACUUUUGUGAGACAAGGUCAGAAUGAUUUCGAGUUCCCCUGUUCUGACUUUGGAAAAUCAUAAAAAAUUGGAUAAAAUUAAUUAUGGGCUUAAAUUUAUAUUUUUAGAAUCCUGAAUGAGUCUAUUUUCAAGAGAAACAAACGAGGACAUCAUUCGAAUGCUGUACAAGAAGAUAAUUAAUUUUUAGUGAAGAAGGGUCGGAACUGUCAGACAGCAGAAUAGGGGAGACUUUAAUGAAUAAAAUGUAUUAAUUGGCCCAACCAAAAAUUAUGAAAUUUUUAUGGUAAGAAGGUAUAUGAGUCUAGUUUCAGGGAAAAUUAUAGGAUCUUAAUUUGGAGUUCUGUAGCUCAAGAUAAAAAUAAUUUAGUGACUAUGACACAGAUGGACAGCUUGAAUAUUCACAUAAGUAGAUAGUGAAAAUUAUGGAUAAUGUUACCUACAAGUGUGUUGUUUAUACUAAGGAUGUGGAAUGGAGAUAAGGAGGAAAAAUAUGUAUGAAUAUUCAGCUAGCAUGGCUAAUUUGUAUGUUUUUGGCUCAAGGACUAAAUUGAAUAAAAGUAAAACUUUAUGGGUAAUUUUGUAAAAAUGUCAAAAAUGACUAAAUUGAAAGGAAUGAAUUGUUUUAUUAUCUAAAUUAAUAAAUUGAAUGAAAUUAUCAAUUUAAGAUUGGGUGAAAUUUGGGAAUAUGGUAAAUCACCAAUAUGCCCCUAAAUCUUGGUAUUUUUGCAAUUUAGUCAGGUAGGUUCGUAUAUCCUGCAUGAGCAUGUAAAUAUGAAAAUUUAAGUAUUGUAUCGUACUUUAUAUGAUAUUUUUUUGAAUAUAUGAAAAGAAUGUUACAUGAAACAUGAAAAUGAAUACUAAAUAAUAUAAAUUAAUUGAAAUUAUUCUGAAAAUCUCGGUAAUGCCUCGUAUCCUAUCCCGAUCUCAAGUACGGGUAUGGGGUAUUACAAAUAAAAAAGGAUUGGGUUAUUAAUUUAUAUUUAUUUUAUAAUCUUUGUGAUAAUCUUUUGUCAUCAUCCCUAUUAAAGGGUUGAAAGCAAAAUAUUUGACAGUGAAAUAUCUACUUAUGAGCGAUAGAAUAUGAUAAUUCUAUCUAAAGUUUAUUAUGGUUGGAUGCACCUAAAGUUGCAAGUUUUUUUUUUGAAAACUAUGAGUGUAACUCUACAGUAUUCAGAAUAAGUUCUCAAUUAAAAUUAUGUGGUAAAAUAUUAUUGACGAGAACUUGUAAGAGAGAAACUUAUGUAUGAAAAGUUAUUGGUUAUGUAUCUGUUGUACACCUGGAAAAUAAGGUUCACUCUCAAAGUUUUCUAUUAAUAGAGUUUUGGGCAUUUGAAUAUUUUGGCAUAUUCCUGAAGCGAAUAUUGCAUAUAAUUAUUUGAAAAUUAUAUUUAUUGACCUGGUGACAUUAUAGACUUCACAUUGAUUUAGACAUUUUUAGUAGUAAAUGUCACAAUAAUACUUAUAUGUAGAUACAAAUUAAAAGGAAUGAUGAUAAAAUUAUUAAUUUGUUACAAUUUAGUACAGUUAAAACACAUGUUAAAGUAAACCAUAAGUUUACUAAUAAAAAUACGUUUACUACUUGACGUGACCAGUUAGAUCAUCUUGGAUCGUAUAUGAUGUGAAAAUUAAUUGAGAAUUUAUAUGGACAUCUAUUAAAGAUGUAAUGGCCCAAAUUUGAGGUUAUCGGACCAGUGGUUUCGGAACCACAAAUCCGAUGAGAAAAAUUUUAUUUUUAUUGUAUUUUUAUGAUCUACAAUUUCACAAAAUGAUUUUUUGAAAAUUUCGUUCGAAAAUUUUGACGUUUGGGCACUCAAUUUAGUCAAAAGGACUAAAUUGUAAAAAGUGCAAAAGUUGAGUUCUACAUGUUAGAGGUGUCCAAUUGUUAUGAAACUUUAAAUUAGAGGUCCUUAUAUGGUAAUUAUACCAUUGGUAACUUGGUAGACAAAAAUGGACAUGAGAUAAGUGAAAUAGAAAAUUUUUAAGUUAGGGGCAAUUUGGUAAUCUAGUAAUUAAAAUGAAUUAAAAGGGAAAAAGAUGGCAAAAAUCAUCAUCUUCUUCAUAUGAACGAAAUCAGCAAGGGGGGAAGCCAUAGUUAGGGUUUUCAAGCUUCCAAGCUCCAUAGUAAGUGAUCCCAAGCCCCGUUUUUAAUGUUCUUUACGUUUUUGAGAUCCCGGUAGCUUAAUUUAGCUUAUUCUAGCAAUAAUUUAACCUAGGGUUUAUAUUUGGAAAAAUACCCAUAGGUGAAAAGUGUUUAUUUUGAUGUUUUAUGAUAGAAUAUAAAGCUAGAAAUUAUGUUAAACAACUUUUGCUAAGCGAUUUUAAGUGAAAACGAGUAAAACGACAUAAUCGGUAAAAAUACCUAAUGUUCAUAAGUACAUGUUAGAGUGGGAAUUUGAUGUUGCCAUAGAAGGGAAAAAUGUUCAGAAUGUUAUAAAACAUAAGAAUAAGAGAUGAAGUUUAAUUUCCGAGCCUUGGGGCAAAAAUGUAAUUAUGUAAAAGUUUAGGGGCAAAAUUGUAAUUUUGAAAAAGUUAGAGUCGAGGGCUGUUUUGAUGAAUGUGAUUAUUAAAUAAGUUAAAUUUACUAUUUUAGAUCAAGAAGUACGAAACUCGAGGUUAGACAAAGGGAAGAAUAAAGUUAAAGACUAAGUUGGUGAAUUUGGCUAUAAUUGGUACCGAUGUAAGUUUACGGUAAAUAAAUGGAAUAUUUCAAUAUUUAUUAUUAAUGCUGUUAAUUUCCAGCAAUUAUGAAUUUAUUUUAUGAAUUUAUUUGAUGAUGAUCCAAGCAUGAAAUGAUAGAGAAUUAAAAUUUAAAAGUCCCGUUGAUACAUAAGGAUGGUACUGGAUACGAAUGUCAUGACAUUUGGGUAAAGAGAUCCCAUGUAAGACCAUGUCUGGGACAUGGCAUUGGCAUCCUUAAGAUCAUGAGAGGUCCCCUGUAAGACCAUGUCUGGGACAUGGCAUGGGCACCGAGACGAGAGGUCCCAUGUAAGACCAUGUCUGGGACAUGGCGUUGGCACCGAGAUGAGAGGUCCCCUAUAAGACCAUGUCUGGGACAUGGCAUGGGCACCAUCACGAGAACAUCCCAUGUAAGACCAUGUCUGGGACAUGGCUUUGGCAUGUUAUUAUCAGAAGAGACCCGAGUAUCCUUAUUAUUCCAAUGUAGCUCAACGGGCUUGUAAACGAAUCAUGUUCAUGAAAGUUCAGUUUAAAGCAUAAAUGGCAAGCUCAGGUAAGUUGUAAGACUUAAGAACUUAUUAUACUAUCAAUUGAUGUUCAACGAUGCAGCAAGGAUUGAGUAAGUUAUGCACACAAGUAUUCUAAGUAAACAAGUAAGAGAACUAGUAUGAGAUUAACUAAAGAGUAAACUAGAGAUAUAGACAUUGAGUUUAAUUAUUUAAGUUAAAUAUUGUUAUUUAUUUGCUAGUAAACUUACUAAGCUUUAUGCUUACUUCUUUUAUUUCUCUUUCUCUUAUAGUAUUGCAAAGCUACUUCAAGGAUCCUAAAGAAGUCGGAGAUCGUCCACACUAUCAACUACAACUGCUCGGUAUUUUAUAUCGAAACACGUUUGAGUUAUGGCAUGUAUAGGGAUUUAGUUAUUUUGUAUGUUUGUAAUGAUGAUUUUGCUAAUGAGUGAUGUGUAAGUAUUUGAUGAUGUAUGAUUAUUAAAAUGAUUAAGGAUGAAGGUGUUUGUUGUUAUGAAAGAUUAGGUGAUAAAUUAUGCAUGGAAAUCAUGAAAGGAUAAAAUUUUGCAAAGAAACAGAAUUCAGGCAGCACAGUGACGUGAAUUUGAAAAAUCACCCAAGAUAGUAUAAAAUGAAUUAUAGGGUGAAUGAUAUAUGGAAUUAAAGCUUGUUGAGUCUAUUUUCAUGGAAAAAUAACGGUGUAGAAAAAGGAAAUUUAUAUUUUAAGAUAUGUGAAUUUUAGUAAGAUAGGGUCAGAACUGUUUUUGGAGUCCCCUGUUCUGAGUUUAGAAAAUAAUUACAAAUUGUACAAAAAUGGUUAUGAGUUGAAAUUUACAUGCUUAGAUUUAUUAAUGAGUCUAUUUUUUGUUGAAACAAGUAAGAACUUCAUAUGAAAAUCCUACAGUGAGAAAACUUAUUUUUAGUGACUAGAGGUCAGGGCAGUCAGGUGGUGAAACAGGGGAGAAUUUAACUAAUAAACUGUACUAAUUUGCUGAACCAAAAAUUCUAAAAAUUUUAUUGUGAGUAGAUAUAUGAGUCUAGUUUCAGGGAAAAUUUACGGAAUUAAAUUUCGAGUUCUGUAGCUCAAGUUAUAAUUAAUUUAGUAACUACUGCGCGAUUGGACAGAUUUGCUGCAAAUAAUGAAAUAAAUUUUCAAACCUAGUUUUUAUGCUCCGAAUUGGUAAGAUAAGCUAAGUAAUGCCUCGUGCUCGACUCCGGAAACGGUCUCGGGUAAGGGGUGUUACAAAAGAACCGUAAUUUUUUUAAUUUAAAAGAAUUCUCAUAUGUUGCUUGUUCUCAAUAAAAAUUGAUUAUUAGAAACUCACUAGCUAAAGUUGAGAUUUAAUGUCUUGUAUUUCUGAAACAAAUAUGGGCCCAUUCAUCCACCAUGUGGAUAGUUUUGAUAUUAUAUGAUUUUAGCAGAUGCAUCUACAAAAUAAUCACAUAUGUGUUAUCAAUUUGCAACAUGUCGUUUGCAAGAUUGCUUGCUUAAAUAAUUAAUUUCAGAUUAUGCAAUGAAAACAAUUCAUCUUGCUAAUGUUGGUGAGUUUACAUCCCAAGUUUUCAAUGAUUAUUGCAUGUCAAUUGGGAUAAAAGUUAAACAUCCUAUAGCUCAUGUUCACACACAAAAUAAUUUAGCUGAAUUGUUUAUCAAAUGCCUCCAACUAAGAGUUAAAUCAUUACUUAUGAGAACUAAACUUUUUAUUUCAACAUGAGGUUAUAUUUAUUUAUAUGUUGUACGCAUCAAACCAAUAAGUUAUAAAUACUCCCAUGACAAUUGGUUUUUGAUCAAGAGAUAAAAGUUUUUCAUCUUUAAAUUUUUGUAGGUUUGUAUAUAUUCCAAUUGUUCCACCACAACAGAUAAAGAUGAGUGAAUCUUUAAAGAAAGUUGGAAAUAUAUAUUAAUUACAAGUUUCUUUAUAUUAUUAGAUGUUUUGAAUGUAUUCGAGCUUCAAUUAUGACAUGAUUUGUGAUUACAAUUUUGAUUCGAUAGUUUUCCCGACAUUAGAGGGAGAGAAAUAGUAACUUGUAAUGAGUUAGGGGGAGAAUAAUUUGAACCAGAGAUUCAAUAAGGAUAACUCAUUACAAGUUAACUGUUAGAUGUAUUUACAAACUUAAUGAGAAAAACCAAUUGUUAUAUAUCAUCUAAUAUUUUAAUUUGAAUCAAAGUCCCAGUAGGACAAUCAGUUAAAAUAAAUAAUAGAUUGAUCGGUUCCAAAGAUGAAAAUUCAAAACAUAACUAAUAAGUAAAAUUCAGAUUCAGGUACCUGAAACUAAAUUUAAAAAUAAUGAAAAUAAGAAAUCUCGAUAAGUUAUGUCAAUUUGAGAAAAUGUGGAACCAAAUAAUAAAAGUAGUUGACAAUAAUUUUGCAUGUAAUAUUAUUAUUGAAAUAAUGAAAUAAAAGGAGGAUCUUGAAUAAAUCUAUUGAGAAAUAUAAAUAUGGAAUAAAUCAAAAUAGAAAGACGCAACUCAAUGACAAUUAAAUUCGUGAAGUUUUUGGGCCAGUAAUCCAAAUAUCUAAAGGUAUAAAGCUAAUGAAUGUGCAAUUGAAGUAGUUUUACAAAAGCAGAAUAUGAAGUUUUUCGAUAAAUCUUGGCAUUGGUUAUGAAAAGAUAUAAUAUAAUUUUGUAGUAGAUGCAAUAAUCUUUAGAUAUAUUAUUAAACUAACAAUUAAUAAAAGAUUUAACUUGCGUCUAAUUGUUAUUGUUACAAAAAUCCUUGAAGGAUUUAGGAUGCUAGAAGCAUAUUCAAAUUCUCGAUAAAUUGUUCAUUUAUAUAAAUUAAAAUAAUUUGAACAUAUGUGGUAAAUUUGACUUAGUGAAUAGUAGUUAAAGAAUGAUUAUAAAGUGAACCAAAAUACCUAUUUGUGUUUUUAGAAAUGAAUCAUGAUUAAAGUUUGUUAUGAUUAUUGUUGAAUCUCCUGAACAGAUCAAAAUAUAUUCCCCAAAUUUCCCUCACUCAUGACUUUUAAAAGAAUGGUAAUAUAAAUGUUUAGCAAUUACAUUCAAAUUGUCAUUUUAAAAACUAGAAUUCAAGAUUGAAUACGUAGAAUAUGGGAAAAUAUGUGAUGUUUUCAUAAGGGGGAAUAAAUAGGCGUUGCACUCUUUUUCCCUUAAUCUAGGUUUUGUCCCAUUGGAUUUUCCUAAUAAGGUUUUUAAUGAAGCAGCAUAUUAUGCAUAUAUUAUAGAUUGUGUACUCUUUUUCCUUCAUUAGGUUUUUAUCUCACAGGAUUUUUCCUUAUAAGGUUUUAACAAGCACAUUAUCUACCAAUGGACAUCUAAGGGGGAGUGUUAUGAAUAUCUUAUUAAGUGGAUGUCAAUCAUGAUCAAGAUAAAAUUUUGGUGUACUUUAAAUUCUAAUAGUUAUUAGAAUUAAAUCUCUACUUCUUUUAUACUUAUUAUGCUUAUAAAUAAAUAAUUUGAUGAAGCAUUGUAAAUCAUCUCUUUUGAUCAAUAAAGUACAUUCUCUAUUGCUUUCAUAUUUUUUUUUGUUUUUUAUUCUACCCAUCUCUCUUUAUUUUAUAACAGUCUUAAAAUUUUGGUAGGGGUUUUGUCAUUUUUUGCUCUUUUUUUGAAAAAUGGAAAUAAUAAUUAAGACAGACAGAUCUAAAUAAAUUAUCUCUUUUGUUAUUUUGAGGGGUAAGCGUUCGAUCAAAUCGAAUGAAAAUUUUUUGAGUUAAUCGAGUUAAUGAAUCCUAUUUUAUUAUCAUAACUCGAUUUGAAAUUUUCUUGAAUCGAGUCGAGUGAGAUGGAAUUCAAAUCGAAUCAAAUCAAAUAUAUUUGUUCGAGCUAACUUAAAAAAAUGACUUUGGAUACUUGUAGUCACUGCCACCACUGUAAUCAAGUUUGUUCGCCGUAAUUAAAUUUUUUAUUAACUUUGAUUCUCUCAUAAUUUAUUUAUUAAUAUUUUUAUAUACGAGUUAGCUUCUUUGUUUAUUUAGUUGUUUCAAAAUAUAUAUUAACUGUAAAAAAUGUGAUUUUUUUUAAUAAAAGUUAUCCUAAAAAUAAAAUGUGAAAUUGAUAUCAACCGAAAAUUUUAAUACAAAUAUUUGAUGAUAUUAUCAAUAAUUUAAUUUUAACAGAAAAUGAUAAAGAUUCAGUAUGAUUAACCAAUUCAAUAAUAUAAAUAAUACAAAAUGUGAAAUUUAAUUCAAUAAUGUAAAUAGUAAACAUAAAUUCAAAAAAAAAGAAGUUUUUGGGGAUUGAAAGGAAGUAAAAGUUUUAGGGGAAAACAAAAGGAAAAAAUGUUUUUAGGGUUUGGGGGAAGUAAAAGUUGUGGGGGGAAAGUAAAAGAAAUUUUUUUUGGGGGGGGGGGGUUUGGGGAAAGUACAAUUUUUUGGAGGAAAAGUAAAAAGGGUUGAUAUUUGAUUUAUUUGAAUUAUGAGAAUUAUUUAAAUUCAAAAAUUCAACUUUAUUUAAACUCGAAAUUCGAAAAGAAUUUCAAGUUGAUUUGAUUAAUUUGAUUUGAAUAAUUCAAAAUUCGAAAAAAUUUUUCAUUUUCCGAAUCGAAUCGAAAUUUGCCCACUUUUAAUUGUCUCUAAAGAGCAAAGUUACAAAAUAAGAGUAGAUGAUUUGGUUGGAGGUGGUAUUUAAGAAAACUUCAUUUUGUAACUAUUGUAAAUUGAAAACAGAUAGUUUAUUUCAAAAAAAUAAAAUUAUAUAUAUAUUUAAAAAGUUUAUAUAAAUUAAAAAUCUUACCACACGAGUAUCUUUGUAGAAAUCAUGUAUUUAGAAUACAUAUGUAUGCUUAAAAAUAAAAUACAAUAAAUGAUAAAAAAGAAGUAUGAUUUUAAAACUAAUUAAUAAUAACAUAUCGAAUAUAUAUGAUACUAAAAUAAAAAACAAAAAUACCCAUAAUCAUAUUUUACUUUGCAAAUUAAAUGUUUUUUUGACAGUUCCGUAACUAAGUCGGGACUCGAUUAGGGGGUGACACCAACUCAGUGAAAGGCUAAAAUAAAUAGUAUGGAUAUACAAUUGAUAGAAGUAAUAAAAUGUGCAUAACAAAAUUAAAAUAUACUAGAAAUUCUAUCACGUGAAUGUGUGUGGAAACCACAAACUUAGAACACAAAUAUCUGUUUAAAAAUAACAUACAAUAAUUAAUGAAAUGUAUGGUUUGAAACGAAUUAACAAUAACACAUGAAAUAUUUACAUUAUUAAAACGAAAAAAAUUAAAUUAAAUUAUUUAUCAUGGUGUUGUCAUCAAUCUUGAGUCAGUGUCGAGUUAACUUGUGACACAACUCAAUCAAGUAUAUUAUUAAUAUAUAUAUAUAAUCGUUAAAAGUAAAAAAAAUGUGCACAAUAGAAUUAAAAUGUAUAAAAAUGUCUAAAAUAAAGCUUUAUUAAUGCAAUUGAUGUGGGUUCAAAUCCCACAAUAUGCAUAUUUUUUUUUGUUUUUUAAAGUGAAAAUAUGAAAAUACCCUUAAACAAUAUUACUUAUUUUAAUUAUGAAAGGACAUUCCUAUAAUUUUCCAAUUGAGUUGGUGACCCGGUUGAGGGUGACAUUAACUCAGUAAGGAGUUUUAUUAAUAUUAUAGAUAUACAACUAAUGGAAGUAAUAAAAUGUGAAUAAUAAAAUUAAAAUGUAUAAAAAUAUUAAAAGAAAGUUUUAGUUUAGUGGUAAAUUAAAUGUUUUAUUAAUUCAAUUGAUCAUUUUAUACAUAUGUUUUUUUUAAGUGAAAAAACUAAAAUACUCUUAAAUAAUAUUACUUAUUUUAAUAACGGAAGAAUAUCCCUAUAACUUCAUAAUUGAGUUGGUGACUGGUUGAGGGUGGUUUUAUUAAUAGUAUAGAAGUAAAUUAAAAUAAAUAUUUUGGUUGAAUGGUGAAUUUAGAGUUUUUCUACUGUAAUUAGCAUUGAUUUAAAUCUUACCAUAUGUAUAUUUAUAUUGUUUUUUAAUUAAAAAGACUAAAGUACCCUUGAACAAUAUACCUUAUUUUAAAAAUGAAAGGUCAUUUUUGUAAUUUCCUAAUCGGAGUUGGUGCCCGAUUAACUUGUAACACUAAAUCAGUUAAAGAUUUUAGUAAUAGUAUAGAUAAUUAAUUAGGUUUUUGUUGAAUAAUGAAAAACUAAAAAUGUAUGAGUUGAAAAUCUUAUUAUGCAUAUUUCUAUAUAUAAAAUAACAAAAACACUUUCAAAUACAACUAAUACAAUUUAGUUUAAAAAACUAUAGAUGUUGGAUUAAUAUAAAUCAUGUAUCGGUUAUCUAAUUUUUUUUAUACAUAAUUGGAACAAUCGAAAACUUUCAUACUUGAUCAAAAAUUAUUAGCAUCUGAAUUUAUUUUCACCAAUUAUCGUUUAAUGGUGCUUUUGAUUUUGAUUCUAUUUAUAAUAUCUUGAAAAAUAUAUUAUAAUUUUUUUUAAUUGAUUGAAGUGAGUUAAAAACUCCACUAAUUACUUAACUUUUAAUUAUUUUAGUAAAAAUAAAAAUAUAACAUACAAAUAUAGAAUUGGUCCAAAUUUAUUUUCAAAAUACUUAAGUCAUUUAUGAAUAUUUAAUUUGAUGGUAAAACAAAACUUUCAUUAUCAAAUUUUGAUUAAAGAAAAGCUUUAUUUUUUGCUCUUUUAUUCAAUGACAGCAAUUUUUAUCAACGGCCUAAGAAGAAAAUUAUUCGAACAAAUUAGAAAUCUUGACAUUACCAACAUUUCAACGUUGACAAAAGUAGAUUCAUUACUCUUAAAAAUACAUUCAAUGUUACAAAAUUUGCUCACCAAAAAGUUUUAUUCUCAAAUUUUUCAAGUUAAUUGUUUUUGCCGAUGGUAUUGUCAAUCGUCAAUGAUAUCCUCCAAUUUUUCCGUAAAUUUUGUCCACUAAAUAAUGGUAAUUUUGGUUUUUAAUUUUUUAUGAAACUUGUUAAAGUAAAGAUGUUGUAAGAUUUAUUAAGAAUUAUUCUCCAAACAACUCAUCAUGAUAAAAUAUAGUGAUAGUGUUUGUAAAAUUAAAAUGAAGGAUGAUAAAUUAUCUAAGACUUGGUUUUUUAUACAUCAUUGAUAUGGUGAGUCUUUUGACAGUUAUUUCUUUAUUAACUAGAGUUCAUCGUCAAAUUUUCUUGAUGAUAGCAAAACUAAAAUGCAAAUUUCAACACUUUUAAUAGAAGUGAUGUAUCUCUAAUUUAUUUUUAAAUUUUCUAAUAUUGUAAUUCCGGUCAAUUUAUCUUUUUUUUAUUUUGGAAAUAUUCUUCCAACAUAAAAUUUGUAAAAUCUUAUUUAUGUGUCAUGUGUUUAUACUUUUAUAAUUUAUAGAUAUUUUAUUUUAAGGAAACGUUGAGAAAAGUAGUAUAAUGAUAAUAGUGGAAACUCAGAAUGUUCAAAUUAAACAACAAUCUUCAUUUGUACAAGUCUUACGAGUUUUUUUUCUUUCUUUUCUUUUUGCCCAGAAGUCUUACGAGUUUAGGUACAACGCUUUAUACCUAAAAAAUCUUGUCAUUGUAAUUUUCUAAAGAGAUAUAGCUUUAUUUGUUUAUGAUCAGUAGUCAUAAGUCUUAAAAGUUGGGCGGUUUCGUUUCGUUUUGAGAUAUUGGUAAACCCGAUUUUGUUUGCAUCCAACACGUUCUACACAUGAAUUCUAAAAUUCAUACCAUUUUUAAGCAAUGAAUGAACAAGAACCGAACACAUGCAUGAUGCAUGUCGACCAUGACAACGAAUAGGGAUUCAUAGCCUGCUCGGCAGCUCCCAAGCCACUUGUUAACUUGGAUAUCUUCUAUCUUUAUAGUGACGGAAUUGUUUUGAUAUGAUUUCAGUUGUGUAAUGUGAAUGGCGAAAUGCAUUGUGGAGAGAGUAGGAAGAUCGAUACAGGGAAAAAGUCCAUAAUGGCUCUGACAAAAGCCAUUACUUACCAACUGAAAUUCCCAAUAAAAAACAAAUGAGGGUUUUGCAUCAGUGCUUACGUUUUACGAACUACGAAAGGGUUGCCCAGCUUUCUCCUUCAAGGGAUAACGUCAUGAUGCUUUCGUCAUCCAGAGCACGCGUCAUCUGUUCAGUUUGUAUCUACCAACCAACUGGAAGGGAGUGGUGAGUUUACAGUUCACAAUUUGUCAUUUGGGGUUGGUAGUUUUCGACUUACCAACAAAGUGCAUGAAUGAUUGAUUUCAAUUUGAAUGAAUUGGAUGGAGGGUGACGAAGCCAUCGAAGUGUUGAGUAAAAUUGUUCAUCCCUUGACAAACAAAAUUAUCGUAUGGAAGAAAGUGCUGCAAGAUAGUACAAAAACUUAGUUGGACGCAACUAUCAGUAUUGAUAAAUUUUGAUAAUAUUGAACUGGUCUGACUUAAAUUAAAAGUGAUAAACCUCGAGGAUAGUAUUUUGUGGGUGAGAACUGGAAUUGGAAAAAGAAAACCAAAGAUAUAGAAAUUAUAUGUGAAGUGGAAAUGAGAAAAUAAUAAAGUAAUACCCAGGAACAGGGUAAAAUAUAUUGGGUUAGUGGUCUUUUGAGAGGCAUGAUGUUAUAUUCCUUACAUUCCUUUUUAAAAUAAGAAAAUUUUCUUUUGAGUAAAAGUGAAAAAGCAAUAGAAAAGAAGAGAGAACAAGUCAAUAGAUUUAUCUCGUACACUUAAAUUUAGAAUUGAUCUCUUCAAUCAAAUAUUCAUAUAUCUCAUACACUUAAAUUUAGAGUUGAUCUCUUUAAUCGAACACUCGUAUAACUCUGAAAUUAAAGAAAAAAAGAUCAACAAUCAAAUCAACUUAGAUUCCUUCACCUUGGCAUGGCCUUAACCAUGAUUCCUACAUACUUAUAGGCUUGUUUGACCAUCAAAUAGUUCUGAAACUCCUGAUAUUCUUGUAAUAUGUACUGCCAUGUAACAAUCAAAUCAACUGAGAUUCCUUCAAAAGAUCAACAAAUUCAAGCCUUCUAAUGAUUCUUGCAAAAACAAGUAAUAAGGCUCAUGGUUGAUUCAUACUCAUUCAUUGGAACGUACUUACCAAACUUCAUCGACUAAUCGCAGAAACUUGGAAACCCUUCAUUUCUUUGACAAUAGCUAAACCUCAAACCCCUCCAAACUGCUUAAUAUCAAUAACGAACCUAGAUCACAUCUUAUUUCUAAAGAAGCUUUCCAACUAGCAAAGAUUCUUGUUGAUUUUUUUUUAUAUUUUUAUGUCCAUUUUACUAUCUAUAUUUGAUGUUUGUGAUUGUUUAUUCUAAAAUUUCCUCUUCAAAGUUUGAAAUUAGAGUUCUCUCUUUAGGAGUGUAAUGUGUCUUACCACUAUAACAUUCCAACUCUAACUUGUGAUGUCAAAUGCAACCACACACUUUAUUAUUAAUGUAGAAAUAAAUGAAAUUUUAGUUGAAACAAUAAAGUAGAGACGAUAAAAAUUAUAAUAUCUCAAAAUUUAAAUCCUACUAUUUAUAUAUGUUUUUUAAUAUAAAAAAAACCUUAAAUUAACAGUGUUUUAAUCAUUAUCUAUUUGUUUUUGCCAAAAUUUUUAUUUAAUUGAGUUCAACUUAAUUGUAUGGUAUAUAUAAUUAACUUUGUAAAGAAAACAAUAUAUAAUUACUUUUAGUUUUAAAAAUAUUAUUUUUCUAAAAAAACUAAUUAUAUAUCAUUCUCUUAAAAAAUUAUUAUAAGUAUUUAUUGCAUAGGUGAAAAUAGUAAAAUAUAAGUUUGAUUGAGUAGACUGUUAAAACUAGUGGUGGAUGGUUGGAAAAAACCACUAAGGUCAUACAGAGUAGUUGUUUGUUUUUGUGUGUGAAUUUUAAAUAAAAAAAUUUAUAAUUACUUUAUUUAAUUAUGGUUAAAUGGUAAUUUUAUAAAGGGUUUUUUUAGUUUCUCAAUUUAUUUAUUGGUGUGAGCCUAAUAAUUAAUCUUUCGCAUUUGGUAAGUCCAUUAAGGAGUAGAUAUUAACUGUAAACUUUAAAAUUGUUAUAUACUUAAGACAAGAUUCGAACCCUUGACUAUUAAUUAAAAAUAAUUUUUAUUAAUUUACCUAACUCCCGUAAUUAAUUUUAUAGUGUUUUGUUAAGUGGUGAUACCAAAUUCAUUUAAAAACUUUAGUAUAAUAAUUAAUGGCGUGUUAACUAAUUGAAUAAAAAAGCAGCGGUCCAAGUACGUUGGAGAUGUUACGUUAAUGGACUGCAUUCUCCGUGUUUGCUGUUGGCCCACUGGAUCCACCCUUGUUUUGUAUUAAUAGAUCCAUCAUCUUCUUUUAAUAAAAAGAAGAGAGAUUGUUUAAAUUAUGAAGGAGGAGAUAUAACUCCAAAAUGCAAUAUUUUGUGGAUUGGAAAAAGGAAAAUAUUAAGGCAGUUUUCCUAACUAGUUACUGGCAUAUGGGAUGGGAGCACCAGAGAAAUAAGAAAGAAAAUUAGAAUGUUAUCUAAAGCUCUCAACACCUUGUUUCUCCAGUUUAUACCUCAAAUAUUUCUUUUUAGUUACAAUUUAUAAUCCAAUUAUAUUCAGAUUUACACAAUCUUUGAUUUCAACUUUCUUUCUGCACAAAUUUAAUAUUAUUUAAUAACUGAUAUAUAUUUUUAAUUUUGGAUAUAGUCAAAUUUUGAAUUUAGUAUUUUCACUUUAAUUUAAUUAAUUUUAAUUUUUGUAUUUUUUAAAAUUUUAAAUUUUAAUCAUGACCUAAUGAUAACGGUUAAAUUUGUUUGGUCACCUUAUGUUAUUAGUCUUGAAUUAUGCGUAAAAUUAUAGAUUUAAUCUAGGUUCAUUAAUUGAACCAUCCUUAGUGAUUAUAUAUAUAUAUAUAUUUCAAAAUUUUAAUCUUAAUAUAAAUGACCAUCGUUAAAUCUAUUAAAUAUUUUUUUUGUAAGUAAUAUGUGAAAAUAAUAAACAAACGUAGCAUUACACAGGUGAUAAUAUGUUUGAGAUAUUAAAUUUUAAAAAUAAUAAAACUUAAUAAAUUUAAUAAUUAAUUUUUCAUUAUAAUUAAAUUAUUAAAUUUUAAAAAUAUACGAAUUAAAAAUAACUAAAUUAAAAUAUAAAUACAUGAAAACUUGUGGUUUGUUUUCUUCACCGCACGUGCAUAAAACCAAUAAACUUCGAGUUUAAUGUAGUAUUUCAUAUCUAACACGUUAAUGAUUUCUUUGUCAUCACAAAAAGACAAAAAUGCUUCUUCUUUUAGAUGAAAAUUAUUGUUUAUUUCUAGAAAACUUGAGGAACUUCUUCCUCCAGAAAGCGCUAAAAUAAUUUUUGCAAUAUAACUUUUGAAUAAAUAGGCCCACAACAUCAUACGGUUAGGCUAAACUCCUUUGGUUACUUUUCAUUAACAAAAACUUUUCACAAUUUAGUGUGAAUAAAAUUUAAUUUAAUUUGAAAAAAUAUUUUUUUAAUUUUGGAUUGAUCGAAUAAAUAAUUCAAUUUUGAAUCGAGUUAAAAUUUAUAAUUUAAAUAAUGGAUUAUUAGAUUACUGUAAAAAUUUUUUUUUGGUCUUUAUCAAUUUUAAAAAUAAACAAAUUGAUCAAACUUAACAAAAAUUAAAAAUAAUUUUUAAAAAUUCUAAAUAUUUAUAAAAAUUUUAAUUUUUUUAAAUAUAAUAAUUUUAAAAUAAUUUUGAAGAAUAAAGAAAGUUAAAAUUUUUAAAAUUUUCUAAAAUUAUAAUUUUGGGAACUAAAAAAAGUAAUUAAUGGUUCAAGUUUAUCAUGCUAAAGUAUAUUAUUAUUAUUUACUUUGAAAAAGUUUUCAAAUAUAUAUGAUUUUAAAUUUAUGUACUCUGAUAAGGAAUUAGUUAUACUAUAACAGUAUUUUAAUUUGACAUGUUUAAUUUUUUAAUUUAACUUGAACAAUUUCACUUGAUUCAAUUCGACUUGAAUUUCAUUUUACUCGACUCAAUUAGAAAAAUUUUUGAAAAUCGAGUUAGGAUAAUAAAAUAGGACUUAUCAACUCGAUUAACUCGAAAUUUUUUCACUCGAUUCGAUCAAAUGCUCAUCCCUAUUUCACACUACUUAAUUCUUGUAUUUUUUAUUAAUCCAAUUUUUAUUUUUUUCAUUUAAGGUUAUUUUUUUAUUUUAGUCAUUUAUAUUAUCAGAAUUUAAUAUUUUGAUUAUUCCUUCAUUAAAUUAUUAGCAGUGACUUUUUUAUUAGCAUAAUAAAAUCUUUAGUUAUCUAGUAUUUACAGAUUCUAACAAUUUAGUUUUAACUUUGAAAAAUUCAACAAAUUUAACUAUCAGCUUUACAUAUUCAGUCAAUCUAGUUUCACUUCUUAAAAUUUUAAAUUUAAAAAAAUUAAAAAAAUAAAAUUCAUUUUUCGAUGAUAAUAUAUAAUAUUUUAUAAACAUAGGCUCAAUAUUAUAAAUAAAUGAAUCCUAAAUUUUUCUUUUUCUUUUUUACAUAAAAUUUAUUUAUUAACAUAAUAUUUUUAUCAAUAAAAUAUAUAUAUUUUUAAAAACCCACAAACAAGACUUAGACUACAUUCAAAGCUAUCCUUCUUUUUAGUUUAUUUUAUAAAUAAUAAAUUUUAUUAUUUGUUUAGUCAUGUUUUUUAGUCCCCAGUCAAAUAUGCUAAGCAUUGGGCAUCGUUUUUGCUCGCAAUCACCUGCAUAAAUAACCAUAAUCAUCGACACCAAUAUUUUUUACUCUGAACUAUUCAACUUCACGUACUCUAUCAAUGCGCCAUAGAAUUAAUAAUUGAUUGUAAAGUUACCGACAUGACCUUUCACCUAUUUGGUCUUCAAGACCUUAUCUUUGUAUAUAUAUCCCUAAUCAUGCCUGCCUCAAGCCCAACUUCAAACAGAACAAACUCUUUCUAGGCAACAACCUAAAGAUAUUAAUUCUCACCAUUUUUGACCUCAGGUUGUAGUUUUUUACUCAACUUGAAUACGGUGGUCAUUAAUGCUGAAAAAAGGAAAAUUUUAAAUAUGAAUAAGUCUUCUUUAUGGUUUUCCCCUUUAAAUUGUUUUAUUUAUUAAAUUAUUAUUUUAAUAAAUAAAUUUUAUGUUAGAAAAUGAGAAAAAUAGAUAUUCAUUUAUUUAUAAAUAUUUUUAUAUUUUUAUAUGUAUUUUAUAAAAUCUUAUGUAUUUUUUUGAAAAAUGAACUUCUAAAUAAUUUUUUAUACUUUAAAGUUUUUUUUUAAAUUUAAGAAUCAAUAUUAAAUUGAUAGAAUAUGUAAAGUUGAGCGUUAAAUUUGUUGAGUUUUUUAGAUUUAGGAUUAAAUUGAUAGAAUCUAUAAACAUUGGAGGGUUAAAUAUAUUAUUAUGCCAAUAAAAGGUCACCUUUAGUGAUUUAACGAAGGAGUGAUCAAAGUACUAAAUUAUGAUAAUGUUAGUGUUUGAAUUAGAAAAUUUUAAACUUGAGUAACUAAAACAGAAAUACACCAAUAAUUGAAUGACUAUUUUUUAGAAUUUACCCUUUCUAUUAUUUACUAAAUUAUGUUAUUCAAAAGUUAUUUUUUAAAAUGUUUUUUUUCUGAAGGAAUACAUAUCUUAAUGAAUGUUAAAUUCUGGGAUUUGGCAAAUCACUACAAGAGUUCAUGCCCUUUAUAUCAAUAGUGAAGUACUAUAAAAUAUUCAUCGACAUCCAAGUAUGUUGAGUUUAGAGCUUAGAACUUUAAUUAGGGAAUUUAUUUAUCUGUUGACAACCAUGAAAAUUGACCUCAACUCCAUAAAUACCUCACCCAUUUGUCAUUUAUUCCCACUCAAAAUCCUGUCAAAAGUCUAGAAAAGUUUGGAAAAAUUAUCACAUAAAUUGUGUUAGGAAGAACAUAUUGCAAACAUUAUUGUCAAUACCGUAAAGUUUCAAACUCAAAUUUUUAAUUUUUUUAAUUUUUAUGAAAAUAUUUUUAUGUAAUUUUUUAAAAAUUAAAUGAUCGAAAUUUUUAAAUUCAACAUAAUUUAAAAUUUCUGAAAGUUGAUGCAUGUAUCGAAAAGCUUUUGAUAGAGAUUAAUUUAUACGUUUAAGUUACAAUGACGAAGUUUAAUAUGAUAUCAGUAUUGCUUGCAAUCUUAUUAGAAAAAUAUAGGCUGAAAAUGUAUACAUUUCAUUUUCCAUGUGUCAUGCAAUCUAAUAAUAAGGAGAAGGAAUUAAAUAAUAAUGGAGUGAAAUGCUUAUGAUUGGAAAGGCGAUCUCUGCAGCACAUGCAACUGCAAAUGAAAUGGAUCAAUAUGCUAAGACUUGAACAUGUUAAGGUAACCGAAACCUUUUGAUUCUAGUGUAUCUUGUAUGAGGAUGUGAGAAUUAAUCGAAGAAAUAAAUUAGUGUUGCCUAUCAUUCUGACGUAUCUAUAUAAAGUUAUUUUGUAAGAGGACGUGAGAAUUAAUUGACGAAAUAAAUUAUUGUCGCGGGAGUUGCUUUCUUAAUGAUGAUAUAUCCUUAGAUGUAAUGUAAGCAGUUAAAUUAUUAUUAUUUUUAAAAAUUAUAGUUAAAUUAAGAAGUUGUUAUAUAUUUUUAUAUAUAUUUUUGAAAAAAAAACUCUAAAAUUGAGAUAAUUUUCGUGGCAGUGCAUGAACCGCAGACGUCGAACUUGACAUCCUGUCCCCUCGUCUCGUGCUGCUUAGCCCGAGGCCGAUAUUAGUGCAUGACUUCGUAUCUGACCCAAAAAGGCCACGUACCGGUUGCCCAUGCUACGCUGGCGCAAUGCCAUCCACUUUUUCAUACUUGGUGGUACGGAUACAACCGGGGAAAUCUGGCAGGCGGCGAAGUCACACGUCGAAAGAGGGUCCCACGUGGCAAAUGUGGAGGCGCUUUUACGGACUUAACCUCACAGAAUGGGAACUUGUGGCUGAGAUUUGAAAUGAAUGGUAAGAAGCAAAGCAAACAAGUUGAAAAAAAAUAGAGAAAAAGCGCAAAGGUGGGCUAUACCUAAAUCAGCCACUAAAUUACUGCCAAUUGGCAGCAUCCUGUUGCCUCUCUCAUUUCUGUUUACCGUUCACCGUUCAUUCUCUUUCUCAGCCAGCUCAAAUGAAUUCUUUCGCAAGGUUGAAAUUCAUUUCCCACUCAUACAUUCCGAUUCUUCCUAAUUACUUUUUUUAUCUUUGUAUCAAAACAAAAUUUAACUCGCCCAAUUUCCUUUAUUUUUUUAAAGAAAAUAAUUCCACAGGAAAUUGUAGUGGCUGAGGUUUCUCCUUUUACUCCUCCCCAAACUGUUGUUUCUGGUGUUUUAGGUCUCACCAGAAACGAGUCAGCUUUCAACUUCAGCUUUAUUUCUUCACUCUCUUAAAUAUUUUAUCCAUUAAAAAAACUGUUUUCAGGUGUCGAUUCCGAUCUCUUCAUUGCCGGAAAAUAUGAUUUCUCUAACAGGUCCUUGUUGAACUCUUUCUCUCAUGCGUGAUCGUUGCUUCCAGAAUUAUCGUCUUCCAUGGCUAUCUGUCAAGGUAUUUCCACCGCAUUUUCAGGAUUUCUUUCUUUAUUUUCCGUUUGGUUGCCACCUAAAAUAAUUUGCUUUGUUAAAAACUCUGCUCACCUGAGUUUAAGUUUAUGUUCCUUAUACGCAGUUGAGCAGAGCUACAAAAGAAAAAGUGUUUGAUUCCCCCCCCCUCCCCCAUGGCAACCAAAUAGAAGGUAAAGGAUCUUUUUUUCCCUCAAAAUUAUUUAUGUUUUUGGUUGCUAAAACGGCAAAGUUUUGCAUUUAUCGGAAGGAUGUAUGUGCAAGUGUUUCGUUAAUUACUAAUCAAAGUUUUUUUUUUCCUCUCAUUUCUCGAAAGGUUUUGGCGUCUACGGGUUCGUUUUGGUGAGGAUUCUGAAUAAAGGAUUUUUCUUUUAAUCUUUCGGAGAAGCCGUUUCUUCUCUUUGUUACGGUGGAUGUCCUUUAUUUAUUUGUUUGUUAUUUUCCAGAGAUUUAACUUUACUUCAAAGUUUACUAUGUGAUUAUAAAUAAUGUAGUUCAGUCUGUUUAUUAAUUAUUAUGAUUAUGAAUGAUGAGGAAGUAAAAUUAAUUGGAAUGAAAAAAAAACCAGAGACGGAUAUCUAUCGAUUGUUGUUGGCUUUUGUGUUUUGCAGCAGUAAAUAGCUAUCAUCAGGUUUUUUGGAGUUCAAAAUCGGCAUUGCUAUUUGUAGUUUUGGAUGUCGAAAUAAAUGAAAGGAGUUUCGCGAUUUACCCGUUUCUCGUUACAGAGGAUUUGAAGCAGCGGUAGAGCUCCCAGGUCCUGUAAAUGGACGCAUACUCCUCCGGAGAAGAACUUUUAAUUAAGGUAUUAAUUAUCAAAUGAGGAAACUGUUUUCUAUUUCUUUUAAAUUAUGCAAUUUGAAAUUGUAAAAAAAUUGGAGUUCUUAUUGUUACAACCUCAAUUAUUUAAUUAAUUUUCGUUUUGAAUGGUAGACUAGGAAGCCUUAUACGAUUACAAAACAACGUGAACGGUGGACUGAGGAGGAGCAUAAUAGGUUCCUAGAGGCCUUGAAGCUCUAUGGACGAGCUUGGCAACGCAUUGAAGGUUUUCACUUAUUCUUCCAUCUUAUUAUUUCUUUUUGUUGGUGGGUGGAGGUGGAAGAUACAGAAAUAUUUCAACUGCUGGAUUGGAGCUAAAAUUUGUUAGUACUUAGUAGUUCCAUAUGAAAUGCUUUAGUAAUUUUCUGUGUCUUAACUAAAUAUCUGUUUUUUCUCUCAUUUCUGUUUACUUGGUGAUUCGCAGAACACAUAGGAACUAAGACUGCUGUGCAGAUCAGGAGUCAUGCUCAAAAAUUCUUCUCUAAGGUCAUUUGGUGCCUUCUUGCUUAUGCUUAUAUUCAAUGUAUUUUUCUGCUUCUUAACUCUUGUUUCUGCUAUAAGUAUAUGAAAUGUUGAUCCCUCAAUUGUUGGGAAUAUUAUGAUUACUCUCUACUUUAUAGUUUAUAUUGUUUUUAGCACUUACUUGCAACCAAGAGAAUAUUAUAGAGGUUCCCCUGGCACAUCUGAAUAACUUAUUGAGGAGAAAGAGUUGAACCUAAUACAUGUAAAUACUCAAUAGCUUUCUGUUAAAACAUUAGUUCUGUAUCAGUGAUCAGAUUUAUAGCCAAUUAUGCGAAGAAGCACUUCUAUCAUAUCUAGAAAAGGCAGCAACCUUGAUACUAAUUUUAUAACCAAAGUAAUUUUGCUUACCACAUUUAGGUGAAGCCUUUCCCCUCUCUAGAAAGAUGCUUUGUUGUUCUGGAGAUGUCGGCUACUUCACUUCCAUUUAUUUGGGUAUGAAAACAGUGAUCAGAUGUGUGCAUGGAAGGUUUUAUCUUCAUAGGAAUCUGAGCUGUGAGAAAAUAAAGGAGCGUGGCUCCAUUUUUCUCCAUUGUUUUAAAUGGUUACUUCCUUGUUGGAAUUUCACUAUCAUUUAAUACACCAGGCAUCCAGUUGUCUAUUCACUUUUGAACUUGCUGAUGUAAUUUUACACUUAAUCUACCAUAACAGAGGAUUUGGAUGUAUGGGUUUUUGGCAUAUAAAAGUCACGUAGCGACAUGUAGCCUGAAUUAUUAUAGAGAAUGAAGUACACCCAUUUUGAGGUUGUAAGGAGAGAAUUUGGGCUGACCCGAACUAAGGCGUGCAUCAGGGCUAUAUUAUACCAAAGUUUUGACUCUGCUUCAACUUGAAUUUUUCAACAUCCAUGGACAGUGAUUGUCAAUUACUGUUUCCUUCAUAAUCAGCUCUAUGAAAAUCGAACUUAUUCAUCCUGAACUUAAACUGUGAUUCCUAAGAAACCACUGGUAAUUUUCUUCCAUCUAUACGUAGACUGAUCCUCUCGCUCCCCUAUAUUUAUGCCAUUUUAAAGCUUUCUCCUAAUAAAAAUUGGGGGCUGGUUUAGCCAAGCAGUCAGCUUGACUGCUUGGCUAAACCAGCCCCUUUUUUAAUUUAGUCAAUGAUUGUGCAUGUAUGUUCAAUUGUGGCCUUUUUGUAUGUCUGCUACAGUCAAAAUGUUAUAUCGUGUAGGAUCUUUUUGAGAGCAUUCAAUGUGGAUUUUAAGGACUGAAAACUGUAAAUAACUCUUAAAAGGUGGCUUAAAGGAUUCACCUUAUGGAAUGAGCUUACUUGAUUUAAAAGCUGCAAUUGUGUGUAUACUUUCUUAGGUGAGGGUAGGAAAAACUGUCACAAAAUUGUCUGAUGUAUGUAAAACGGGCCAUAUUGACAGCAGGUGUAUAAAAUUUUGCGUUAACCUCCUGUAAGAGUUAUAAGUAGAUGUUACAGAAAUUAUGCAUGGACUUCUAGUUUCCUGAUAAUGCUUAGUAUUAUUCUAGUUGGAUUAUAUUUUUUUAUUCAUAUUAGAAAAACAACUUUGUCUCCUUAUCUAAAUUAAUUCCAGAGAAAAUAAAUGGCACCAUCAAUGACUAGAAAUAUUUUACUUCUCCAUUUUCAUUUGAGUUUAGACUACUAACAAAUAUUCCAUUCUCAGCUGGAGAAGGAAGCACUUACUAAGGGCAUUCCAACUGGUCAAGCUCUUGAUAUAGAAAUUCCACCUCCACGUCCUAAAAGAAAACCGAGAAACCCUUACCCUCGGAAAAUGAGUGCUGCUACCUCAGUGCAGAUGGGAGCAAAGGAUGGAAAAUCUGAAACUCCAGUAUCUUCUUUGCAUUGCAAACAGGCGUUCAACUUGGAGAAAGAACCUCUCCCAGAGGUUAAUUUCAGUUCCUCAUAUACCUCACUUAUCUAAUGCAUGUCCUUUGUUAUGUUCCACAUAUUGUCUAAUCUUAAUAUGUUCCUUUUUCUGCCAGAGACCUAGCAGAGAUGAAAAAUCUUCAAAUCUGAAAGAAAUUCUAGAUGAUAAUUGCUCUGAGGUUUUUACCCUUCUCCAUGAAGCAAACUGCUCCUCCAUGUCUUCUGUGAACAAGAAUUUUAUACCAACAUCAACAGUGCUUAGAAAUUCUUGCCCUCUUAGGGAGUUUGUACCUUCACUAAAGGAGGUAGUAAAUCAUGAUAAAUAUGAAUUCUAUCCUAUGUCAUUCUUGAACUUUAAAAAAUUUAUGAGGCUUAUAAACUUGAUGUCUUACAGACAAUUAAUAAAGAUACAAGUAAGCCUUCAAACUUGGAGAAUUCUUGCACUUCAUAUGAGAAACCAGCUCAAGUUCAGAGAAAAGAUGAUAUGGACGGUGCUACAUGUACAGAUGAGAUGCAAGCCACUCAUAAUAAUCCUCAACAUGUUGCUGUGCAUGUCCUAGAUGGAAGCCCAGGAACAUGUGCUCCAAAUCCUUCCAUGGAUAUAACUUUUCAGGAUUCUAUAUUUCACCCUAUGGGCGAUAUUCAUGGACAAGUUAACCUGUUUGCAAAUCCAGCGGCAUCUGCUACCACUGCACAUCAGAAUAAUGCACCAAGAUCAACUCAUCAGGCGUUUCCAACGUUUCAUACUCCCUUUAUGCAUCUUCAGCCCAAUCAAGAGGACUACCGAUCAUUUCUACACGUCUCUUCCACAUUUUCCAGUCUCGUUGUAUCUACUUUAUUACAGAAUCCAGCAGCUCAUGCUGCAGCAAGCUUUGCGGCUACAUUUUGGCCAUAUGCAAAUGUUCAAAAUUCUGAUGAUUCUCCUGCUUGUGACCAGAAAGGUUUUCCUUCUAGACAAAUGAACUCUGCUACAAGUAUGGCUGCAAUUGCAGCUGCUACUGUAGCAGCUGCCACUGCUUGGUGGGCUGCGCAUGGACUGCUUUCCGUAUGUGCUCCUCUGCAGACUGGCUGUACUUGUGCUCCUGCAUCCACAGCUGCAGUAACUCCUAUGGAGAAUGGUGAAGCUCCGGCUGCAAAUAUGGAAAGAAAAAUGUAUGCUGGUCAAGAUCCAUCCAUGCAGGAUCAACGGUUGGACCCUCAAUAUGCUGAAGCUAUGCAAUGUCAACCAUCAGCAUCUAAAUCACCUACUUCAUCAUCAUCAGACCGUGAAGAGAGUGGUGAGGCAAAAGCAAAUACUGAAGUGAAAGCAACUGCAGCAACUGAGCCUCAAGAUCCAAAUAAAACAAAGAAUGGAAAACAAGUUGACCGAUCUUCAUGUGGUUCCAAUACACCUUCUUCUAGCGACGUGGAGAUAGAUGUAUUAGAAAAGAACAAGGAAGACAAGGAAGAUCCGAAGCCAGCUGAUGCAAAUCAUCCACAAGUUGAAUGUAGCAAUCGUCGUGGCAGAAGCAGUACCAACCUGAGUGAUUCUUGGAAGGAGGUAUCUGAAGGGGUGAGUUGAUGCGUGUGUUUUUUCAUGCAGCUUUAACUUUGUUUUCAUUUCAUUUUUAUUGUGAUAUUGUUACAUUUGUGGCUCCACUACUAUUUGGUAGCUGUGUUUUUUUUUUGUCAGGGCCGACUGGCUUUUCAAGCUCUCUUCUCGAGAGAAGUACUACCGCAAAGCUUUUCUCCUCCUCAUGACAGAAAGAAUAAAGAGCAGCAAAAGGAAAGUGUAGGUGAAGAUGAGCAAAAUUCAGAUCAGAAUAAUGGAGAGACAUCAAUUUUACACUUCUCCAGCGAGGCAUUCAGAUCUUGUUCUGACCAUCAAGGAGUUGAGAAAAAAGCGUUGUCAAAAGCUAAGAACAUUGUGGACAAGAGCUUGCUGACGAUUGGGCUAGGACAUGAAAAGCUUAAGGCCCGUCAAACAGGAUUUAAACCUUACAAAAGGUGUUCUGUGGAGGCCAAGGAAAGCAGAGUGAUGAACACAGGCAGUCAAGGUGAAGAGAAAGAUCCCAAGAGGAUACGCUUGGAAGGGGAAGCUCCGACUUGAAUUACGCAAUUGCAUGCAAUCAACAAAGGAAAUUCUGUUUGCUGCUUGUGAUCUCUAAUAUUCCCCGUGUCUGAUUUACUACCAUGUUUAAUUUUAAGACUUGCAGCUCACGAGACCUUAUGUCUUAAGUGUGUGUACUAUAUGUCUAUAUUGGCUUAAUCACUUUCCUGGACAAUGCAAUUGUAGUUAAAAACUCCUUUGAAAUAGAUAAGAAGCUUUAAGUAUUGAAUGGCCCUUGCUUUGGGUUCUUUUCAGCAUAUAUAUGCCCUUGUGUUUACUAUUCUACUCUGGUGAUCUUAUUCACUAUAACCUUUUAGAUGCAUUGAAACGGCAAAAUGAAAAGGAAAGGUUUGCUUGCCUGCCUUGCGGUUGCAGCCUACAGGACAUCCACUGGUUUGUAGUAACUUUUUAACUGCUUUUUUUAUUUUAUUCUUCCUAGUCUUAACUAGAUUUUUUUUGGGUGCAAAAUAGGUCCUGCCAUGAUAAAUCAGUGAAAGGUAAUAUUGAUGCUGCUAUUCAAGCUCAAGAUCAACCGGAUGUUUAGGUGCGCUAUUCUUGAAACUUGAUUAUAUGGUUCUUUAUAUUCUACUUUUGAAAUCAAUUCAGUUCUUAUCUCCUUGUUUCCAUUAAUGAAAUCCAGACGGUGCACGAAAUGUUGAGUAGGCGAGUGACAUUUUUCGACAUAAUGAAAAAAUUGUCACCUGAUGCCAUACAGGUCUGCAUAUCCCUCAUCCUUUUAUUCUUGCGAAGAAUGAUUUCGAUUUAUCCAAUUUAUUUCAGGUACACGAUUUCUCCACUGCAAUUUAAUUUCAGAAGACAAGGGUUACUUGGUUGAGUCUGCCCCAAGAAUUUAAGACAGGUUCUAUCCUUAAUCAACAUCUGAUAGUGGCUCCAACAAUAAUUGAAAGAAUUAUAUCCAUUUAUGGAAAACAUGACUGUACAGGUUACAUUUCUAUUCAAAUUUACAUUCUAUCAAGAGAAAGAAUACUACUAUUUACAUCAAACUCCUAUGGAACAUAAGAUCAUUUUGUUCGAUUGCCAGUAUUUGUUAAUAUAAUUUUUUUUCUAUACAUUAGAUAUAUCAAGUUCAAGUCUAUUCAUAGAAUGACAUCAUUUAGUAUUGCCCAUUAUAUACUCGUAAGACCCAGCUCAAAACUUGCUGCAGUUUUGAAAUUACUUUUUUACACAAGCAGAGCACUUCAUUUGGUGUGGAAGUCUGCAGACAGCUUAGGAAACGGUGCUGCUGUUAGAAACUGAGAUUGAUGAGUCUGCAACUUGUUAAUGUAUGUCUGAAUUCGCUUCUUAUUGGCAGGAGUCAAUGUAAAUGGUGGGUUCAAUGGAAGACUUGCCGCCUCUCCUACAAUAAAUGAAAGUAAAACCAUUGCUUUAGAGUACAAUGCCGCUGCACUACCUUUGUUCUCCAUAUACUCAUCUACCUAAAACAAGUUCAUAAAAGAUAAAGAAAAAGAAAGCAUUUAUGUUAGUCACAACUACAAAGGGUAAGUAAAUAAAUUAUGGCGUUGAUGCAAGUUACUCACAGCGCCACUUGUCCCGAUAGUGAGUGCGGUUUGAUAUAUUAUUUCCAUGGCAUCAGGCAUCUGUGCUGUAGCUGAAAUUAUUUGACAGACCAAUCAAAACCCCAAUCAAGAGAAAGUUAUAAACAAAGUGUUAUUUCAUAUUGACAAUCUAACCAUCCAUAUCUUGAAGAUGACAUGACAACUUCUCGGCACGAUCAUAAGCAUUAAUAAAUCCUUGCUCUGCCCAGAUGCAAGCAGAUGAAGGCUUAUUUAAAUCUACAUUGUCACCUGAAUUUGGAGCCAAGCCUGCGCUACUCUGAAUAGUGGUAGUAGGUUGAUUGCCUGAAUUGCUUCCAGGUGAUUCAUUUUCUGGAGCAGAGGUUUUCCAAGAGCUACAGAUCUGAAGAGCUUUCUUCCAUAUAGCCAAGACAACAAGUUCAACUGAAAAUGAUUCUACAAAUAGUCCUGCAUUAUACUGCACCCAACUGAUGUUAGAGAGAUGCUUCACUCAAUGCAAUAAUCUGCAACAACAGAUAUGCAGAUGUUUUUUCCUGAAAAAACUAACAGGCUUUGACUCGGCCAUAAAUGGAACUCACAUCCUAAAAUAUAACGAGUAUUAGUUAACUGUUUAUAGCAAUCCAAUGUUUCUAAACGGAAAAGGUUAAAGCAUUUAAAAAUUUCACCAAACAGAAAAGCAGGCUUCUCCGAAAGUUGAGCCGCUCAAGUUUUAAUAGCCAGAUCAUCUAUGACCUAGAUAAGGACAGAGAUAUAACUGGGGAGCUACUACUUCACUAUUCUUCUAUAACUGACAAAAUUUCUGGUACUAGAAAUACAAUAUCCAUGUUCUUCUAGGUCAUGCAAUUGCCUGUCUACAACAGAUAGGCUGUACUUAUUCAGCAGAAAACAAUAAAAGAUCACCUUUCCUUGAGCUAUUUCUGCAAUAGCCAGUGCAUACUGAUGCAAUAACUGCAGCCUAGUUGAGGGAUGCAAUAUGUUAAGUCUCUGUACUUCCCUUAGCAUAGCUGAUUCAGAUGAUGUUUGCAAAUCUGAUCCCUGAAACUGUGGAGAUUUUGCAGAAGCGACAGAACUUUCAGCGGUCUCCUUCUCCAGAGAAACUGCUGGUUCCUGGUCACUCUUCUUUGCUUGGCACUUCAAAGUUGAAUAAUCUUGGAGGGACGUCUCCAGGUAAUAAGAGAAAGUCUCCAUCGAUGCGGAACGAGAAUUGACUAGAACGUAUUCCUUCUCAAUACCUUCCAACGAGUCAGCUACUGGCCAUAGAAGGGAAAAAUGAGGAAUUAGAAGGAUAGAAAGAAAAGAAAAGACAAUAAUUAAAAGAAAAGAAAAGAGCAUAGUGGGAACAUUGUUUAGCAGAAGAAUGCACCUCUGAGCUCAGCUGGUGAACACUGGUUAUCAACAGAUUUUCCUUUGCUAUCACAUCCAGUAAGAGCCACUGCCCCAAGAGCACCUUUGACACUGGAGUGUUCCUUUGUUUGUGAUGCCUUACCACAUCCAAAUGAACUAACUGAUUUCUGAUUUAUGCUAGAUAUGUCUAUGAGAUCCCGAUAAGGUAAUGGAGAUUUCUUCUCAGAGGCAGAAGAAUCAAACUUCUCAACCAUUGCUUCUGAUUGAAGACGUGAUGAGUCCAGCUCAAGGCCCACCUUUUUGCUACAGAUAAUAAUACAAUAAACUUAAUCCAAGUUGCUUUGCCUGCUAGACAACUUUACAUAAAGGAAUUUGAAACAAGUAGCAUCAAAAGCACUAAAAGAGGAUUUUACCUUCUCUCACCAAGGAACUUGUGAUCGAAAAAUUCCCUGAAUGUCAGUCGCUCAACUGCAAAUUUAAGUUAAAUUUUAGAUUGCAGGGUUUACAAGUACUGCAAGUAAACUAAAGAUCCCAAAUAUUUGCAAACUGCAGGCAUAAUUAUUGGUUCCAUAUAACCCAAAAUCAAGACCGUUAGUAACCAGUACCCGCAUCAUGUCGUAACAGAUUUCUGCAGAGAUUAACACAAUCAGGAUGUAAUUCUUCCAGGGCUCCUUCUGGAAACUGCAAUUCAGUGGACCUCAAUAUAUUCUGGAACAGCUGCAUACAGAAGAGAAUCACAAUGAAUAUUUAUGAAGCAUUUAAGCUUUGAUAAUAAGCCAAAUAGAUCAUCCUACACAUAAACCUGUAGUUGAUUAUCGCCAUCAAAUGGUGGCUUCCCAGUGACCAGUUGAAAUAAGAUUGCCCCAACACUCCACAAAUCAGCCUGCAUUGAUCAUUACAGUCAAGUAAAAGCUAGCUAAAGAAAAAUAAAGGAGGUGGGUCGACUGGAGGGAGUAAAAUCCAUGCAGUUCUUUCACCUUUGCAUCAUACUUCUUAUUCUGAAUAAUCUCAGGUGCCAUGUACAAUGGUGAACCACAUAGUGUAUCAGCCAAGUUUUCAGGUGUCAAGGAUCUGCAAAACAAGGUAUAUCAACAGCUUUCUAUGAACAACUUCGAUCCCUGUGUCAAAAUGUUAUAUAGUUAUCUAAACCAGAACUUGUUUGAAUCAUUUUGGGUCAUGACAAGAGAAUACGGCUGACAUAUGUUCCAUGGAAGUCAGAACACAUGUUUCUAGAUAGCCUAACUUUUCUAAUUUUAAAAAAAAUGAGAAGAGAAAAAAGAUCUCUUCCUUACAAGUAUCAAAAGCAAAAAAGAAACAGAUUAAAUUAUACUGCAUGUUGCAAAAUGAAGCCAUAUCCAUGAACUAAGCAUUGUGCCAACUAGAAGAAGGCCAAUUAAAGUGUUCACCUUGCAAAACCAAAAUCUCCUAUCUUCAAUUGCGGAGUUGAUCCUUUAGUUAACAGUAAGUUCUGCAAAGUUACAAUAAAUUUAAAAGAAAUAAAUGAUCUAGUAUUCACCACAUAUAAACUACAGAGGUUAGCUGCCAGUUAAUUACGAAAUAGAUCUACUAAUAUACAACAAGAGAGAAUGCAUUGCAGUGUCCUAUAAAACAAGAAUGCCUGCAUUUCUUUAAACAUGACCCAUACUACUUGGAAAAUCAACAUCCUACUAAACAUACAAGGAAUUAAACUAAGAUAUUGAAGCACCAUACCUGCGGCUUUAAAUCCCGAUGAAUAAGGUGUUCUUUUUGAAGAACUUGCAAUCCUGCAGCUGCACAAGAUAGUCCACCGAUUAGGGCAUUCCAGAUAUUUCUGAAUAAGCUAAAUAGAAACGAAUGUAAGCAAAGAAAAUUGGGGAUAUGAGGAAACAAUGGGCUCCAGUUUGGCAUCAUAUCCAUUUGACUAACAAAGCAAUUAAGAAUAUCUUACUGUAAAUCACACGUGAAACAAUAAUAGCAAUAUAAAUUGCAAAUCCGUUGCCUUAGCUAUCAAACAUUUAAUUUAAAAGCCGUUACUACUUAAGCAGCAAAAGUUUGUGCUGUAACUGUUGUUAUGAGGUUUCCCAACAAAAACCCACAUGCAAUAUCCAACUAGAAUUAUAAGCUUAAAACAAAAACAACCCAAUCAUCAAAUUUGUAUUUAAUAACUGUUAUUACCAUCAAUGAGGUUCAAAGAAGCAAUUGUCUAAAGAUUGUAAAAGAAUUUCAAAACAGAGUACCCAAUUGCCUCAUAAGAUGCCUGGCAACUUCCUCCGAUACUUUUCCAUAUCUUUGAAUAUAAGCAGCGAGAUCCCCUCCAUCGCAAUAUUCCAACACUAGAAAUAUCCUAUCUUCAGUCUGCCACAGCAUUACUUACGCAUUAAUCAGUCAUAAAAUAAUUCAAAUUUCCAAAGGAAAUAGAAAAAGUGGGUAUAUCAAAAAUAUUUUUUUUUGAAAAAAAGAAAGACCUCAAUGGCUUCAAAAAGUUGGAUGAUGUUGGGGUGAUUAAUAGUGCUGAGAAUGUUUAUCUCCUUGAGCAGACUUUCACUGACUUUGGAGCUCAGCAGUUUCUUAUCAAUCUCUUUAACUGCGACUUCCAACCCAUGUUGUCGAUGCCUUGACCUCCAAACCACCGCGAAUGAACCCGACCCGAUUCUUGGACCCAGAAUAUAGUCUCCGACUAGUCGGACCUGGCCAGGACCCGGUCCCCCGUAAUCCACCGUCGUCGUCAUCAUCAACGACCAACCAGUUGACUAGCUCCCUUUACUGGGUUUUUGUUCCUUGAGUUGAAAACAUCAUCGUGUCUUGUCUUUUAGCCUUUUAUUCCCCAAUUCCAGAAUUGCCCAAUUUAUCUAAAAACAAAAGAAAAUACAAGGACAAGGGAAGACGAGCAGGGAGACAGAGAGAGAGAAAAUAGGGUUGGUUUAUUGGACCAUUUUGUCUAUUUCUUUUCUUUUUGCUUUUAUUGAAUUAUUUUUGUGUGGAAACGACGCCGAUGUAUAGUAGUAGUAGAGGUUUGGUUUGGUUGGAUUUGCACUUGGACUUUAAGUUAAAGCUAAAGCUAAAGUAGGAUUGAUAUUUUUGUAUUUUCAUUAAUUUUUUAUGUAUUUAUAAUUUUAUCACAUUCACAAUUCUAUUUUACUAUUUUCUCUAAAUUUAUAAUGUUUAUUGUUAUUUUUAAAUAAUUUAACAUACAAAACAAAUGCACUAUACAUUAUUUCGUUCUAUUUAAUACCAAAAAUACCGAGCCAUUAGUCAUAUAAGAUAUUUUAAUAUUGCCGUUUCGAUAAAUAUGUUUUCUUAUAUAUGAAUAUUGAAAUAUUGUUAAUCCUAUCACUUAGAAGGUCGAUUGAUUUAAUGGGUUAAUUGAAUUAAUUAAAUUUGUACUUUUUUUAUUCAAAUGAGUUAAACAAAAAUAUUAUGUUCUUUUAUGGUAGAAGAAGGUAAUUUUUAUUUUCAUAAAUUUUCUCUUAUCAUUUAUAAAAUAACAAUUGUUUCACUUUUACUCAAUUUUAUUUUUGUAAGGCCCAAAUUCUGCCCGGGUCCAAGCAAACAAAUACAAAAAACUAAAAUAACAAACAAAACAAGAAAAUCAUAAAUAUUGUUUAUUAACAGUUCAUCAGCCCAUUUAUAAAUAGUCAUUUUUACAGUCCGAAACCUAAAACUAAAUACAAUAGGCCCAAUGCCCCAAAUACCAAUACAAACCCAAAUCAAUACCUCACAGCCCAAUAGCUAAACCCAGACCCAAUAAUUAAACCUAGACCUAUUUUUAAAACCUAGGACCCAAAUACAGGCCCAAUAGGCCCAAUGUCUAAAACAAGGGCCAAGGCAGAAACCCUAGCAGCCUUGGCUCGUGCCGCAACAGCAACCGGACAGCAGCUCCAUGCCUCCGUACGCCCCAGCCUCCUGGUGCCACGCCCGUGCCCCAUACUCUGUACCUGCAAACAAAUGAGGCAAACAUAGCAGCAAAAAAAAAAACAAAACAAAGAAAAUGUUGUAUUUUGAUUUAUUUUCCUCUUUCUUUUCGGCUAUAAAGCCAGAUUUUAACCUUGUAAUCGGUUAUGCACGUUUACGAACGUAAUACAAACAGACUAUUUUCAUAUUGAAUACAAAGAAAAGGCCACCUAUAUUGGAAGGUGAUUUUCCGAUUUAGAGUUGCGGGCGUUCCUCUUUUUUUAUUGUUCUUCGUUUUGUGUUGUUUUUUUUUUUCGAAAGCAAAUAAAGUGAAGGGGAAAGGACUUACCUUCGCAUAUGAGCCACCGGAGACCUCGUCCCUUUCACUGAAAUCGAAAUCGAGGAUGGGAUUUCGGGGUUUAAAUCGAAAAAUGCCACGCUAGAUUAAACAGACAAGUAAAAAGGGGUCACCGAAGGCCAUCAUCCAUCGUCGCAGUGAUGAAAUGAUGGCCGAACGGCGCAAAACUUUUGGGGUUCCCCUCUCCCCAUUGUUUUGACUAAAAAUCUAGGGUUUUCAGGGACCUUAUUCUCUUUUAUUCGGCGAUGUGAAACGGUGCCGUUUAAGGCAUGGUGAGUAGCCUUGAAACGACACCGUUUGGAUAGCCUGACCCGAUCAGCUCCCUGGUGCCCCGAUGACCCUCGCGUUUUGGCGAUGAGGGUUUAUUUCAACGCCGGUCCCUCCCCUUUCGCACUGUGUUCAAAUCAACCGAUAUUUGUGUUCUUUUUCUUUGAAAUUAGUUUCGUCAAUUUAUGCGCAUUUGCAUUUAAGUCUGCGCUUGUGUGCUGAGUUUCAGGGGCCUGGAAUAUUUCCAGCAUAGGUCCUUUGACAUUUGUGCGCAUUGCGUAUUUCCCUUUAUCCUUAUUUAUGUCUUCAAAUUAUUCCUAUUGUUUUUGUUUGAUUCUAAUUUAAUCCUUUUAGUUCUCAGUCCUUUUGUAUUUGUUACUUAUUUAUAUUUUUCAACUGCCUGGAUGAUUGCCUCUUUUUUUUAUUAUUGUAAUUUUUUGUAUAUAAUAUCAUCGCCACAUUUUAUGUAUUUUGCACCAAAUUUUUACACAUUGACAUAUAUUAUAUAUACACAUUGUAAUGAGUUGACAAUAUCCCAUGUACAUGCAUCUAUGUGUAAGUAUACAUAUAUCUAUCUAUUUAUUUUCUUUUAAAUUUGUUUGUUUACACGUUAUUUUAUAUAUAUAUUUAUUAUAAUAAAGUUAACGUAUUUGCAUGUAUAUAAUAAUUUUUGACUCAAUCUAUGUAUUUUGGUAUAUAUAUUUUUUGUUAUUUUAACAUGUUUUGUACAUAUGUGUUGCAUAAAGUUUACAUUAUUUUUAUACUCACUUAUAUUAGUACACAUAUUUGAUAUAUAUUUCUAAAUCUAUUUUAAUUAGAUUUUAUUUAUAUACAUAUACAUUAUACAUAUACAUAUAUUUUUUCACUCAUAAGCAUGUUUUUUUAAAUCUAUCGUUUAAUUUAUAAUCAAAUUGAUUUAGCCCUAGGCACAUUAUCAUUUCUAUAUAAAUUUGCAUGUACUCUCUUUUAAACUCAUAGGUAUACAUAUCAAUAUAAUUGUUACUUUAAUAGACUUUUCAUUUUAAAAUACUUUCUAUUUUAUGAUUUUUUUAUUCUCUCUCACUCUCUCUAUAUAUAAAAUUAUUUUUAAAAAAACCCUUUUUGUAAUUUCAAAAUUAUUAUUUUUGAAUAUUUCUUUAUAUUGUAUUACUUAUGCAUUUUUUAUAGCCUAUCAUUUAAAUGUUUUGAUAUAAGGAUAUGUGUGGUUUUUAGACCAACUUAAAAUUUAUGUACAUUUUUGGGCAUUAGGUUUUGUCAUGUAUUUUUUUUAUAUAUCAUAUCAUUUAUCAAAUGUUUUGUUAACUUCUAAAUAAACUUGUAUUUAAAAUAUUUUACAUGCAAUUUGGUUUAAACUUUCAUUCUAUGAUAUCGGUUUCAAAAAGGGGUUACAUAUAUAUCCCUAGUUUUAUACAAAUUUGUCAAUCUAUAUUUUAUAUGUCCAUUUAUUCGUCAUUAUUGUGAAAUAGUUUUAUACCAUAUUGUUUCCGUGGUUUGCAUUUUGUUGUGCCUCUAAUAAUUUUAUUAUGCCAUAUAUGCGGUAGUUGCAUUUUAUUUAUUCAUUAUUGUCAUGUUAGUCGUUCUCCAUGCAUAAUUGAAGUCGAGUUAUAUUUUUAAGUUAAUUAUAUUUAAUUGUUUAUUUUCUUAGUUGAUUAAUAUUCUCAUUCAUCAAGUACGGUAUCUUAUAUGUGCCUAUUACCUCAAAUCAUUAUUUUCCACCUUGUUUUUGAAAUGUGGUUUUUGUGAAAUUCAAAUUUUUAUGAUUAAUUUCAUCUUAUUUCAAAUCGAGUUAAUACGUUUUAAGUUAGUUUUAUAAGUAUUCGUUUAAGAAUUCUUUAAAACGAAGACGAGAUUCGAUAUUUGGCAAUUCGUGAAAUAGUGCCCUAACGUGUUGGGUUGCAAUUUCGCGUUUGCUCAAAAUAAUUGAAUAUCCCUUCAAAAUUUCACUCACGCCUUUCAAAAAUUCUUUAAAACGAAGUCGAGAUUUGAUGUUUGGCAAUUCGCAGAAGCGUGCCCUAACGUGUUGGGUUGCAAUUUCGCGUUUGCUCAAAAUAAUCGAAUAUCACUUCAAAAUUUCAUUCAUGUCUAUUAAAAUCCCUAAAACGAAGGCGAUAUGCGAUAUUUGGCAAUUCGUUGAAUCGUGCCCUAACGUGUUGGGUUGCAAUUUCCCAUUUGUUUAAAAUAAUCAAAUAUCCCACAGGUCUUCUAAAAAUCCUUUAAAACGAAGGUAAUACUCGGUGUUCGACAAUUCGGGAAUCAUGCCCUAUCGUGCUGGGUUGUGAUUUCUCUUUUGUUCAAAACAAUCGAAUAUUCCUUUAGGUUUUCAUUCAUGUUUAUUAAAAACCUUUCAAAACGAAGGCAAUGUUCGAUGUUUGGCGAUUUGAGAAUCGAGCCCUAUCGUGCUGGGUUGCGCUUUUUCAUUUGCUCAAAACAAUCCAAGAUCCCUUCGAAAUUUCACUCGUAUUUUCUAAGGUGAGGCAAUGUUUGAUGUUCGGAAAUUCGAAGAAUUGUGCCAUACUGUACUGGGUUUCGAUUUUUCGUUGGACUGAAUAGUUGAGCAUCCUUUCGCGAUUUUCAAAUUAUAAAUUUUCGGACGCCGAAACAAGAAGAUUUUUGACAAUCAACUCGGGUUAUUCAACUGUUAUUAAAAAGAACCACAUUUCAAAAACAUUUUUAAUUUUAGACAUAAGGACAAUAUUUAAUCAAUUUGGUACCAAUUUUGGGCGUAGUGAGGGUGCUAAUCCUUCCUCAUGCGUAACCGACUCCCGAGCCCGUUUUCUAAAAUUUUCAUAGACCAGAGUUGUUGUUUUAGUAAACUAAAAAUGUUUUAUUAAAAUAACUUCAUUCUUAGGUGAUCCGAUCACACCAAAACAAAGAUCGGUGGCGACUCCACGUAUUUGUUUUUCAAAAGUCAAUUCCCCAUCUCUUUUAAACCUAAAAAAAAAAUUCAAAAAGGGGGUGGUUUCGACAAAUAUUUUAUUAUAAAGUGGAUGUUUAUUAGGAUAAGAAAUUUGAUAUACUUUAGGACUCUAACAUUCAUUAGAAAUAGAAUCAUAUAUAAACACAGCUCGUACAUUAUCAUAGUUUGCCUCAUGACUAUUUAUAUAGAGUUCACAUAUAAUUAUCUUCCAUGUCAAAUACAGUGAUAGUUCACAUAUUCAAGUAUUCAUAUAUGCCUAAUAAGACCUAAAUACAUUCACCAAGUAUUCAAGUAUAACAAUGUCAAUUCUGUUAAACAAAUGCUUCUUUCGUCGCUUGAUGCAUUUCCAACAAACACAUAUAUGUUUAUGAUAGCCAUUCAAAAUCCAAGCCAUAUUCAUGAUAAAAAAUAUCAUAAUUCGACAUCUCAUAACAUCAUGUUUUCAUGCAAAACCGUACCUACAAAUACCAUUUGGAUUUUAUUCAAGACAUCGCAUUAAGCUAUAACCCAACCAUCACAUAUUGAAAAUUUGGCCACCAUACACACUUAUAUACAUAACAUGUAAACAUCCAAAAUCAAGUACCACAUAGGCUCAAGUUCAGGAGCAAUCAAAAUGACACAUAUGUAAUGUGACUCUUGUAUACAUGCCACAUAACCAAGAUCGAAACAAUUAAAAAACUAUCGAGUUAGAAGAUGGAUAGUGUGGACUUCGAAUUGAUCCGAUCGAUGCGUUCCACAAAAGACAACUACAAGAUAAUAAACAUAAACGACUAAGCAUUACGAAUGCUUAGUAAGUUCAUAUAAGCUAGAAUAGUAAACUCACCUCAAAUCACAACUAACCCAAUGAGUUAGCUAACCAUACGACUUUUCUGUCAACACAUCUCAUAGCAGUAAUGUGAGUUCAUCAGAUACAAUUUUACAACAUUUCAAUACGUACAAUACAGUUCCAAAUACAAUACAUAAUAUCAAUCGGAUAUUUUUCGUUUUACAAUAAUUAUAUAGCCUGAUGAACUACAAUAAAUAGAUACGGAUACGCGAGGUAACCACCAAAAACGCACUAGAUUGCUUGUUCGAGCGAUAACUUCAAAACACACCUGAGCACCGAAGUGCUAAGCCUAUAGGCAUAUGUCAUAGACAAUCCAACCCUUUAGAACACACCAGGGUCUCCGUAGAGACAAUCAAUAACAGUGGUCUUCGUAGAGACAAGACAUGGUAAUUCGCAACAAAUAUUGGAUUUCGAUUUAAACUGUGAAUUCUUCGUACAUUAGUAUUAUCUCAUAUCAUAUACUAUACAACACGCAAUAAUCCUAAUGGCAUGCUAAUUGUAUCUUAUCAUUUCUUACAUUCAUCCGGGCACACUUAACACAUUAAAAUGAUUUUUUACAAUUCAGUCUAUUUCUCACCUUUUUGUACUAUUUUACAUACAAUUCAAAACACAUUCAAUGUAUAUAGAUCCAUAAUUCAAACACAUACAUUACAUUUGCAUUUAAAAUUAUAUCAUAUGAACUUACCUGGCAAAAACAAUAGUAAACAAGGUGUCGAGGACUAAUCUACAAUUUUCCUUUUUCCUCGAUUAUCUACCGGUUGAUUCAAAUAUUGAUUUAUUUAGUAAUUCAUUUCAAUUUAUUAAUUUUAAUAGCUUAUACUAUCUCAUUCCAUGUAUAUAACAUGUUAAUUUCAUUUUUCACAAUUUCCUAAAUUUUCUCAUUUUAUUCAAUUUAGUCCCUAAAAUUAAAACAAUCAUAAUUUUUACAUUUAAGUUUCAUUUUACAAUCCGAUUUCAAUUUCAUCCUUCUACAGCCCUCUAAAUUCAAUAAUUACAGAAAUUUCAUGUCAAUUUCAAAUUAUUUUCAUUUUAGUCAUUACACUCGAAACUAGCAUUUAAACUUUACAAUUUAAUCAUUUUUUUUCAUUUCUAAGCUUAAAAGCUAAUAUUUAAACACCAAAAGCUUCAAAAUUCAUCAACAGUAACUUUUAUAAACUUUAACAGUUUUAUGAAUUAAUACUCAAGUUAGCUAAAUCGAGCUACAAUCGAGCUACAAUGAUCUCAAAAAUAUAAAAUUUAUGAAAAACGGAUUUUAGAAUCACUUACAUGCAAGGGACGAAUGCUAGGGAAUUUUUGAAGCUCUCAAUUAUUCAUUCAGUAGUGAUAUUUAGUGGAGAAGAUGAGAAUGAAACUCAUUCUCUUUCUUUCCACUUUUAUUUCUUUUAAUUAAUGCCUUAAUUUUAUUAAUGUAUUUUAAUUUUUAACAAAACAAUUGUUAAAAUCAUGCACCAACCUUCCAUCUAAUACAUUAUGGUCUAAUUGUCAUUUAAAUUCUUGAACAAUUUUUAUUUAAGUCUUUUAACAAAUAAAAAUCAAUAGCGAUUUACUUUUACGAUUUUUACGAUUUAGUCCUUAUAUUUUAAUUACUAACUGUUCAAUAAAAUUACAGGAUAAAAAAUCAAUAUAACAUUAUAAUAGAUUUUUAAAUAUUAAUAAAUAAUAUUUACUGAUUUGGUCAUCAAAAAUGGGGUUCUGAAAUCGUCGUUUUUGGUACCACUGAAAAAUGGAUUGUUAUAUAAGAAAUGUGAUAACACUUGGUUACUAACCAAGUGAUAUAACUUGUGGUUACUUAUAACUUUUCAACAACUAUUGGAAUACUAUAUAUUUUGAAAAUAUUCCAAUAAUCUCCCCCUAUUUUCAAAAUAUUCUAGAUUUUGAUAACUUGUAAAUCAAUUGCAUAAAUGAAUGUGUCUUACGAUUGAACAUUCACUUAGUGAAAAUAUGUUAAAGUUAAUAGAAAUUACAUAAUAGACUAUGCUUUGAACCAACUAUUCUAUCUGAUUAACUGAAAACAUCUCACACAAUGAUUUCAACACUAGUCAAUGGACAGUAUCUAGGGACACUAUUUUGGCCAUGUGUCUGUAAACUCUUUUUCAUGAGUGUUGUAAGAGCCAAGUGUAAUGGCCUAAAUUCAAGGUUAUCGGAACAAUGGUUUUGUAACCAUAGAUCCGAUUUAAAGAGAAAUUUAUUUCAAUAUUUUUACUUAAAAAUUGAUAUGAUAGGAAAAUCAUAUGAAAAUAUUGAUAGAAAAAUUUUACCAAUUUAGUGAUUAGAUAGAAAAAGAAAUUAUUGAAGAAAUUGGGUAAAAAUAAGGUAUCGAGACCUCUAUCUCGUAAAACCGAGUCAAAAAUAAUUUUAUAAAUAUUUAUGAAAUGUUAUUAAUGUGGUAGUAAAAUUUCGUUAGGAAAUUUUAAUGUUUGAGUAGUCAAUUAAAUGAAAAGGACUAAAUUGUAAUAGGUGUAAAAGUUGCUAGAGUGAUUAAAUAGCUUAAGAGUCUAAUGAGAAAGGAUUUAAAAGGCAAUUAGACCCAAAAUUUAUUUGGGCUGGACGGAAAGGGUAUGAAAUCAGCAGAAAAAUUGAUAAAUUAAGGGUAAAAUUGGAAUAUUGCAAAAUUAACUAAAUAAAGCUAGGACUAAAUAGGAAAUAUCUAGAUUUCUCUUCAUUUCUCUUCAAUUCCAUCAGCUAAAAACGACAUAGGAGGGUUCUCUAAGCUGAUAUUUCAUAAUUUUUGCACCAAGUGAGUUAAUCCUUGCCUUUUUCUUGUCAUUUUUGUGUUUCUAAGACUUUUACAACUAGGUCCUACUAUUAAAUUCAUUAGUUUUUGGUUUCAUGGAUGAAAUUGAAAGUCACCAUGGUUGAGUGCUGUAAGUUUAUGAUGAAGUAGAAUUAAAUUAAAGCUUUAAUUUUUUAUGAGAUGAUUUUAUUAGGUAAUUUCAAUAGAAAUUGAUUUUUAGUACCUAAUUGUGAAAAUGCUUGGAAUUAAAGUCUAUUGCUGAAAUUAUGAUUCCUAAAGGUUGUAAACUAGUUUAAGGUGAUAGAAUAAAAUGUUAAUUGAUAAAAAUCAGCUCAAUUGAGAGGCUAAUUGAGUAGGGACGAAAUUAUCAUUUAUUAAAAGCUUAGGGGAAAAUGGUAAUAAACAGCUUGCACAAAAACAGUUUGGACAGCAGCAGUAGACUAACUUUGAAAAAUCACCAUAAAUUUUAGAAAUCUAAUUAGAAGAUGAAAAAAAUAUGGAAUUAAAGCUUAUUGAGUCUAGUUUCUCAUAGAAGAAAUAUUGUAAGCAAUGGAUUUGUAAAUUUUGAGAUAUAAUGAAUUUUGUGAGACAAGGUCAGAAUGAAUUCGGGUUCCCCUAUUCUGACUUUGAAAAAUCAUAAAAAAUUUAAUAAAAACAAUUAUGGGCUUAAAUUUAUAUGUCUAGAAUCCUUAAUGAGUCUAUUUUUAAGAGAAACAAACGAGAACAUUAUUUGAAUUCUGUAUGAAGAGAUAAUUAAUUUUUAGUGAAGAAGGGUCAGAACUGUCGACAGCAGAACAGGGGUGACUUUAAAGAAUAAACUGUACUUAUUGGCUAAACCAAAAAUUCUGAAAAUUUUAUGGUAAAAUUAUAUAUGAGUAUAGUUUCAGGUAAAAUUAACGGAUCUUAAUUUGGAGUUCCGUAGCUCAAGUUAUAAAUAAUUUAGUGACUAUGACUCAAGUAGACAGCUUUGAAUGAACUAUAAAUAAUAGUUGAAUUAUAGAGAAUGUUGCAUAUGAACAUGAAAUGUAUUAAAUUGAUAAUUAAAUUUAUUUAUUUAGAUCCGGAAGAUUCAAAUACGAAGCUAGAUAGAGGAAAGGAAAAAGUUCGGGAUUAGUAGAUUUUUAUUGUUUACAAACAAGUAUCAAGGUAAGUUCGUGUAACUUGAAUUAUAUUCUUAAAUGCUUGAAAAUCAUGUUUUUGAUAUGAAUAUGAUUUGAAUGUUCAUUAUAUGGAAAUUUAUGAAACAUUGAUAUAUUUGAUAAAAUGGGAAGAAAUCUCGUUUGAAUGAAAGGAAAAUUCGAUGGAUCUUUGAAAAGGAAUUGACGGUAAAAAGGAUCUAGCCCGGACGGGUGAUCCUAUCAUGAUAUAGCCCUCCCGAAGAAUAUGUGUAAAAUGGAUUUAGCCCGGACGGGUAAUCCGAAUUAGGGUCUGAAUUUAGCCUGGACUGGUAAUUCAGAUCCAAGCUCAUUUGAGUAAUUGUCGUUGCAGGGGAUUUAGCCUGGACUGGUAAUCCCGACAAUACUGUAUGAGUUUAUAUUGCAGGGGAUUUAGCCUGGACUGGUAAUCCCGCUGCAAGGUUGACAUUCGCAGGAGUGUGCUUUCUGAAAUGGAUAUGUGCGCACAUGAAUAUGAAUUGACGGACCCGGAAUUGUACAAUAAAUGUGUACCUCUGAAAAUCCAUCAAAAUUUCGAUAAAUUCAACGGGAUAAAUAUGGAAAAAUAGCAAGGAAAUGGGAAUCAUGGUAUUGACGAGCUCAUCAAUCAUGGUAUAUAUAUUAUUGAUACAUGGAAAUUAUUGUACUAACUUGAAUGUUGAGUUUGUGCAUGUUAGGGUAAUAAUGCAUUGAAUGGAUAUAUGAAUGUUUAUUAUAUUGUAUUGAAAAUAUUAGGUAAGUAUAAUUCUUGUUACAUGAGCUUACUAAGCACAAAGUGCUUACCCCGUUUCCUUUUUCCCUGUUUUGUAGUGUUAAGAGCUCGGAGGUCGGAUUUGGUAGGAGACACAUCACACUAUCAACCUCAGGAUUUCGGUAUAUAAAGAAACUUUAUUUUGGAAAUCAAUGGCAUGUAUAAGCUAACAAAGUAAAUGUUAACGUGAAAUGAAUGUAAAGUUAGCCAUUAGUAUGGUUAACAAACCUGGUUUUAGAUAUGUGAUGACGUUAUCUUAUAAAUAUGCAUGAAUUUAUCUUGAAAAUAUGUUGAAUUGAUUUGGUUGAUGUGGAUUGGUCUCGAUUUAAUAUUGUGGGGAAGGUUAGAUAUUUAUAAAGGGGCUAUAUUGAAUAUAAAAAAAAAUAAUUCGUAAACUCCGGUAAUGCCUCGUACCCUAUUUCGGCAAUGAAUACGGGUAGGGGUAUUACAUUUAUUGGUAUCAGAGCUACGGUUUAGCCGAUUCUAGGACUGAUGUAGCAAACAUGGGAUUAGCUAUACAUGCCAUUUAAAUUAUUAUUGAUAGUGUGAUAUCUCCUGACCAUUUAAAAUGUGUUUUUCUUAUAGUAAUGUCAUCCGACCGAGCUCAAUCUGAGGAAGUUGGGAGUCAUGCUCCGGCUUUAGUACAAAGAGAAGAAACUAGCAGUAGAAGGCCCGAGACAGAGGGUCGAGGGGAGGAGGCAAAAACAGCCUUCUUUCAAAUGAUGAAUGAAUGGUUUAAUCAAUACAUAAGAACUAACCCUGUAAUGCAGCAAAUUCAAGCUCCCCCUCCUGCUCCUCCACCGGUUCUUGAGAUCCCACAAGGUACAGGUACUGAAUCUGUCAGAAAAGGGAAAGCUCUAGUAGAUAAAAUUCGAAAAUAUAGGGCCGAAGAAUUUCGAGCAGUAGUUGAUGAUGAUUCCGAACGGGCUGAAUUCUGGUUAGAAAACACUACUCGGGUUCUGGAGGAAUUAUCUUGUACACCAGAAGAAUGUCUGAAAUGUGCUGUCUCACUGCUAAAAGCCACAGCUUACCAUUAGUGGAAUACUAAAGCUUCAGUUGUUUCAAAAGAAGAAAUUACAUGGGAAUUCUUUCAGACCGAGUUCAGAAAAAAAAAUAUAUCAGCCAGAGGUUUCUCGAUCAGAAAAGAAAAGAAUUUCUUGAGUUGAAAUAGGGUAACAGAUCAGUAUCUGAAUAUGAAAGAGAAUUUGUUCGAUUGAGUAAAUAUGCUCGAGAAUGGGUACAAUCAGAAGCUGAAAUGUGCAAACGAUUCGAAGAAGGGUUAAAUGAAGACAUUAAACUACUGAUCAGAAUUCUUGAAAUUCGAGAGUUUGCUACAUUGGCAGAGAGAGCUUACAAAGUAGAAGAAUUGAGCAAAUAAAAGAAACAGGCUGAGAGGAAAGCUCGAAUUUUUAGUAAAAGACCGAUGGGAAAAUCCCAGUUUUCUGCUUCAAAGAAAUUGAAGAAGUAUCAGGAUCGUUCUACUUCAGCCAUUGGGUAUUCGGGCAAAGAGCGAGGUUCUCAACGCACUAAUCCAAGGCCUUCUACUCCAUCAGUGACCAGUGUUGGCAGUGUUGGCACUCCUAAACCAAGAUGCUAGUACUGUAAUAAAGCUCAUUUUGGUGAAUGUCGAUUAAAGAGCGGGGCUUGUUACCGAUGUGGUUCUUUUGACCAUUUCCUCAGAGAUUGUCCAGAAAGGGGUGAAAAAGAAGCUGAACAGAUAUUGAAGUUGAGUAAUCCAGUUUCGAGAGGUAGACCACCUUGACCAUCCGGUAAUGUCAGUGGUAGUCGAGGAGCUACAAAAGAUACUGCAGGUAGGCCUGAGGCACGAGCACCUGCUAGGACAUAUGCCAUUCGUGCCAGAGAAGAUGCCUCAGCACCCGAUGUUAUUACUGGUACAUUUUCUUUACUUGAUACUGAUAUUACUGCAUUGAUUGAUCCUGGUUCUACGCAUUCAUAUAUAUGUGUUAAACUUGCAAUUAUUAAAAAUUUAUCUGUUGAACCUACUGAAUUUGUGGUUAAAGUCUCGAACCCCCUGGGCCAGUCUGUGUUGGUGGAUAAAAUUUAUAAAAAUUGUCCAAUAAUGGUAAGAGGUUAUUGUUUCUCGGCUGAUUUGAUGUUACUGCCAUUUGAUGAAUUUGACGUGAUAUUGGGCAUGGAUUGGUUAACCCAGCAUGAUGCGGUAAUAAAUUGUAGACAAAAAUAUAUUGUGCUAAAAUGUCAGAAUGGUGAGUUGCUCCGGUUAAAUCUGAUCAGACAGAGGGGUUAUCUGAUAUGAUUUUGGUAAUGGCAGCACAGAGGUAUGUCAAAAAAGGGUAUGAUGCUUACUUGGCUUAUGUACUUGACACCAAAGUAUCUGAGUCAAAAAUACAGGCAGUUCCAGUGGUAUGUGAAUUUUCCGAUGUGUUUCUAGAGGAAUUACCAGGAUUGCCACCAGAAAGAGAAGUGGAAUUUUCUAUAGAUUUGAUUUCAGGAACUACUCCGAUCUCCAUAGCUCCAUAUCGUAUGGCUCCUACAGAAUUAAAGGAGUUAAAGACACAGUUGCAAGAACUUGUUGACAGGGGUUUUGUCCGACCGAGUCAUUCACCUUGGGGUGCUCCGGUUCUGUUUGUGAAAAAGAAAGAUGGGUCUUUGAGAUUGUGUAUCGACUACCGGCAACUUAAUAAAGUAACCAUAAAGAAUAAGUACCCGUUACCCCGGAUUGAUGAUUUAUUUGAUCAGCUGAAAGGUGCUACUGUGUUUUCAAAGAUUGAUCUUCGAUCAGGUUCAGUUACGGGUAAAGGAGUCAGAUGUGCCAAAAACAGCCUUUAGAACCAAGUACGGGCAAUAUGAGUUUCUAGUUAUGCCGUUUGGGCUAACUAAUGCACCUGUAGUAUUCAUAGAUUUGAUGAACUGGAUAUUCAGACCGUACUUAGACAGAUUUGUAGUAGUAUUCAUUGAUAAUAUUUUGGUUUAUUCUCGGGAUGAAGAAGAACAUGCAGAACAUUUGAGAAUUGUGUUGCAAAUUCUACGAGAGAAGCAGUUAUAUGCUAAAUUCAGUAAAUGUGAAUUUUGGCUUCGAGAAGUGGGUUUUCUUGGACACAUUGUAUCUGCCGAAGGCAUCAGGGUAUAUCCAAGUAAAAUAUCAGCUAUUGUCAAUUGGAAUCCACCGAAGAAUGUAUCUGAAGUUAGAAGUUUCUUGGGUUUAGCUGGUUAUUAUCGGAGAUUUGUACAGGGAUUCUCUAUGAUAGCUUCUCCAAUGACUCGAUUAUUGUAGAAAGAUGUAAAGUUCGAGUGGACUGAUGAAUGUCAACAAAGUUUCAACCGAUUGAAAGACCUAUCAACGAAAGCACCUGUAUUAGUGCAGCCUGAACCGGGUAAGGAAUUUGUUAUUUACAGUGAUGCCUUAUUAAAUGGUUUAGGUUGUGUUUUGAUGCAAGAAGGUAAAGUAAUAGCCUAUGCUUCAAGACAACUUAAACCACAUGAAAGAAAUUACCCAGUACAUGAUCUUGAAUUAUUUGCUAUUGUAUUUGCGCUGAAGAUAUGGCGGCAUUACUUGUACGGUGAGAAAUGUCAUAUUUAUACUGAUCAUAAAAGCUUGAAAUAUUCGAUGACACAGAAAGAUUUGAAUUUGAGACAGCGCAGGUGGCUUGAACUGAUAAAGGACUAUGAUUUGAUUAUUGAUUACCAUCCGGGUAAGGCUAAUGUUGUAGCUAAUGCUUUGAGCCGGAAAUCUCUGUUUGCUUUACGAGCUAUGAAUACCCGGUUAUCAUUGACUGAUGAUGGUUCAAUCCUAGCAGAAUUAAGAGCUAAACCGACAUUUUUACAGCAAAUAUGUGAAGCUCAGAAGAAAGAUGAGAAGUUACAAGUUAAACGGGCACAGUGUGAGUCAGGUAAUGAUUCUGAAUUUCAGAUUGGUUCUGAUAGUUGUUUAUUAUUCAGAUGUAGGGUAUGUGUACCUCAGAAUUUAGAGCUCAUACAGAAGAUUCUACGCGAGGCUCACAGCGGUAUUAUGUCUGUACAUCCGGGGAGUAAUAAAAUGUAUAAUGAUCUGAAAAAGAUGUAUUUGUGGUCGGGAAUGAAACGUGAUAUCUCUGAGUUUGUAUCAAGGUGUUUAAUAUGUAAACAAGUUAAAGCUGAACAUCAGGUACCUUCGGGGUUACUUCAGCCAAUUACUAUACCAGAAUGGAAAUGGGAAAGAAUCACUAUGGAUUUUGUAUCGGGGCUACCUUUGUCUCCGAGGAAAAAAGAUGCUAUUUGGGUGAUUGUUGACCGAUUAACAAAGUCAGCUCACUUUAUUCUGGUACGUAUGGAUUAUUCUUUAGAUAAACUAGCUGAAUUGUACAUAUCUAAGAUUGUCAGGCUACAUGGAGUGCUUGUCUCCAUUAUAUCAGAUAGAGAUCCCCGAUUUACGUCUCGUUUCUAGGACAAAUUGCAAGAAGCCUUGGGUACUCAAUUGUAUUUCAGCACUGCAUUUCAUCCUCAGACAGAUGGUCAAUCUGAGUGUGUAAUUCAAGUAUUGGAAGAUAUGCUCCGAUGUUGUAUACUAGAGUUUGAAGGUAAUUGGGAGAGGUGUCUACCUUUGAUUGAAUUUGCUUACAAUAACAGUUAUCAGUCUAGUAUUAAAAUGGCUUCGUAUGAAGCUUUGUGUGGUAGAAAAUGUAGAACACCGUUAUAUUGGACAGAGCUUAGUGAAAGGAAGAUACAUGGGGUUGAUUUGAUCCUGGAAACAGAAGAAAAAGUAAAGGUUAUUCGGGAUAGUCUAAAAGCAGCUUCCGAUCGUCAAAAAUCAUAUGCUGACCUUAAAUGAAAAGAGAUUGAAUUUCAAGUACGUGACAAGGUAUUUCUGAAAGUGUCUCCUUGGAAGAAAGUCCUCCGAUUCUGUCAAAAGGGUAAACUGAGUCCAAGAUUUAUCGGGCCUUAUGAAAUCAUAGAAAGAAUUGGACCGGUCGCUUAUCGAUUGGCAUUACCACCGGAACUUGAUAGAAUCCAUAAUGUUUUUCAUGUAUCUAUGUUACGACGAUAUCGAUCAGAUCCUUCACAUGUUAUUUCUCUGAUAGAAGUAGAGAUUCAACCGGAUAUGACUUACAGUGAAUAACCGGUCAAGAUAUUGGCACGGGAGACAAAAGAGCUUAGAAAUAAAAAGAUAAAUUUGGUGAAAGUAUUGUGGCAAAAGCACGGGAUUGAGGAAGCGAUUUGGGAACCGGAGGAGACAAUGAGGAAACAAUACCCAAACCUCUUUAUUGGUAAGAUUUUCGAGGACGAAAAUCCUUAAAGGGGGGAGAGUUGUAAUGGCCUAAAUUCAAGAUUAUCGGAACAAUGGUUUCGUAACCAUAGAUCCGAUUUAAAGAGAAAUUUAUUUCAAUAUUUUUGCUUGAAAAUUGAUAUGAUAGGAAAAUCGUAUGAAAAUAUUGAUAGAAAAAUUUUACCAAUUUAGUGAUUAGAUAGAAAAAGAAAUUAUUGAAGAAAUUGGGUAAAAACAAGGUAUCGAGACCUCUAUCUCGUAAAACCGAGUCAAAAAUAAUUUUAUAAAUAUUUAUGAAAUGUUAUUAAUGUGGUAUUAAAAUUUCGUUAGGAAAUUUUAAUGUUUGGGUAGUCAAUUAAAUGAAAAGGACUAAAUUGUAAUAGGUGUAAAAGUUGCUAGAGUAAUUAAAUAGCUUAAGAGUCUAAUGAGAAAGGAUUUAAAAGGCAAUUCGACCCAAAAGUUAUUUGGACUGGACGGCAAGGGUAUGAAAUCAGCAGAAAAAUUGAUAAAUUAAGGGUAAAAUUGGAAUAUUGCAAAAUUAACUAAAUAAAGCUAGGACUAAAUAAGAAAUAUCUAGAUUUCUCUUCAUUUCUCUUCAAUUCCAGCAGCUAAAAACGCCAUAGGAGGGUUCUCUAAGCUGAUAUUUCAUAAUUUUUGCACCAAGUGAGUUAAUCCUUGCCUUUUUCUUGUAAUUUUUGUGUUUCUAAGACUUUUACAACUAGGUCCUGCUAUUAAAUUCAUUAGUUUUUGAUUUCAUGGAUGAAAUUGAAAGUCACCAUGGUUGAGUGCUGUAAUUUUAUGAUGAAAUAGAAUUAAAUUAAAGCUUUAAUUUGUUUAUGAGAUGAUUUUAUUAGGUGAUUUCAAUAGAAAUUGAUUUUUAGGACCUAAUUGUGAAAAUGCUUGGAAUUAAAGUCUAUUGCUAAAAUUCUGAUUCCUAAAGGUUGUAAACUAGUUUAAGGUGAUAGAAUAAAAUGUUAAUUGAUAAAAAUCAGCUCAAUUGAGAGGCUAAUUGAGUAGGGACGAAAUUAUCAUUUAUUAAAAGCUUAGGGGAAAAAUGGUAAUAAACAGCUUGCACAAAAACAGUUUGGACAGCAGCAGUAGACUAACUUUGAAAAAUCACCAUAAAUUUUAGAAAUAGAAUUAGAAGAUUAAAAAAAUAUGGAAUUAAAGCUUAUUGAGUCUAGUUUCUCAUAGAAGAAAUAUUGUAAGCAAUGUAUUUGUAAAUUUUGAGAUAUAAUGAAUUUUGUGAGACAAGGUCAGAAUGAAUUCGGGUUCCCCUGUUCUGACUUUGAAAAAUUAUAAAAAAUUGAAUAAAAAUAAUUAGGGACUUAAAUUUAUAUGUAUAGAAUUAUAAAUGAGUCUAUUUUUAAUAAAAACAAACGAGAACAUCAUUUGAAUUCUGUAUAAAGAGAUAAUUUAUUUUUAGUGAAGAAGGGUCAGAACUGUUAGACAACAGAACAGGGGUGACUUUGAAGAAUAAACUGUACUGAUUGGCUAAACCAAAAAUUAUGAAAAUUUUAUGGUAAAAAUAUAUAUGAGUCUAGUUUCAGGGAAAAUUAACGGAUCUUAAUUUGGAGUUCCGUAGCUCAAGUUAUAAAUAAUUUAGUGACUAUGACUCAAGUAGACAGCUUUGAAUGAACUAUAAAUAAUAGUUGAAUUAUAGAGAAUGUUGCAUAUGAACAUGAAAUGUAUUAAAUUGAUAAUUAAAUUUAUUUAUUUAGAUCCGGAAGAUUCAAAUACGAAGCUAGAUAGAGGAAAGGAAAAAGUUCGGGAUUAGUAGAUUUUUAUUGUUUACAAACAAGUAUCAAGGUAAGUUCGUGUAACUUGAAUUAUAUUCUUAAAUGCUUGAAAUGCAUGUUUUUGAUAUGAAUAUGAUUUGAAUGUUCAUUAUAUGGAAAUUUAUGAAACAUUGAUAUAUUUGAUAAAAUGGGAAGAAAUCCCGUUUGAAUGAAAGGAAAAUUCGAUGGAUCUCUGAAAAGGAAUUGACGGUAAAAAGGAUCUAGUCCGGACGGGUGAUCCUAUCCUGAUAUAGCCCUCCCAAAGAAUAUGUGUAAAAUGGAUUUAGCCCGGACGGGUAAUCCGAAUUAGGGUCUGAAUUUAGCCUGGACUGGUAAUUCAGAUCCAAGCUCAUUAGAGUAAUUGUCGUUGCAGGGGAUUUAGCCUGGACUGGUAAUCCCGACAAUACUGUAUGAGUUUAUAUUGCAGGGGAUUUAGCUUGGACUGGUAAUCCCGCUGCAAGGUUGACGUUCGCGGGAGUGUGCUCUCUGAAAUGGAUAUGUGCGCACAUGAAUAUGAAUUGACGGACCCGAAAUUGUACAAUAAAUGUGUACCUCUGAAAAUCCAUCGAAAUUUCGAUAAAUUCAACGGGAUAAAUAUGGAAAAAUAGCAAGGAAAUGGAAAUCAUGGUAUUGACGAGCUCAUCAAUCAUGGUAUAUAUAUUAUUGAUACAUGGAAAUUAUUGUACUAACUUGAAUGUUGAGUUUGUGCAUGUUAGGGUAAUAAUGCAUUGAAUGGAUAUAUGAAUGUUUAUUAUAUUGUAUUGAAAAUAUUAGGUAAGUAUAAUUCUUGUUACAUGAGCUUACUAAGCACAAAGUGCUUACCCCGUUUCCUUUUUCCCUGUUUUGUAGUGUUAAGAGCUCGGAGGUCAGAUUUGGUCGGAGACACAUCACACUGUCAACCUCAGGAUUUCGGUAUAUAAAGAAACUUUAUUUUGGAAAUCAAUGGCAUGUAUAAGCUAACAAAGUAAAUGUUAACGUGAAAUGAAUGUAAAGUUAGCCAUUAGUAUGGUUAACAAACAUGAUUUUAGAUAUGUGAUGACGUUAUCUUAUAAAUAUGCAUGAAUUUAUCUUGAAAAUAUGUUGAAUUGAUUUAGUUGAUGUGGAUUGGUCUCGAUUUAAUAUUGCAGGGAAGGUUAGAUAUUUAUAAAGGGGCUAUAUUGAAUAUAAAAAAAAAUUUAAUUCGUAAACUCUGGUAAUGCCUCGUACCCUAUCCCGGAAAUGAAUACAGGUAGGGGUAUUACACCAAGCCCUUGAGCUCCUAGAAGCGAUCACACUUCCACUCGCAUAGGUAGAUACUAUCAAGAGUGUUCCCUCAAUUAUAACACUCUUAAUAUAUUUAUGUUAUGGGUUUAUUAAGAGUUUAAUACCCUUAUCCUUUCCUUGUCAUUAUGGGUACUUAACAAUUUUUACAUUGAGAUGAUACAUUAUAUAUUAUUAUAAUACUAGCAGUCACAUACUGAUGAUAUAAUUUGUCUCAUUCAACUUAAGACUUGACAUUAUACCAAGCAUUGAGUUAAGUUUCCAUAAUGGGUGACUUAAAUAUUAUAGUUUUGUAUCGCAUCCCUAAAUUUCUAAAUUUUCAACAUAGUUAUGUUAAUUAUCUAUACCACAUGAUGAAACUUUAUAUUUAUUUGUGUCCUGAAAAUUCAGAAGAUCAACAUCCCACCAUGUUCAAUUAUCCAUUCUUUCGCAAAAAAAUGCUAUCUAGGAUAUCAUUUCUAUUAUUGUCAAAUUACAGUGAUCAUUUUAUCUUUUCUUAUCAUGACAAAUUCAUAUUUGGAUACUUGGUUUCAUAUUUAGAUAUCAAUAAAUAAACAAUGUAUCAUGCCUUUUUCACCAAGUAAGUUGUGUAAAGAGGCCGAAUCCCUUGGUGAAACUAGACAAUAUAUUUGCUAUUGGUUAUAACUUCUUUUCAAAGUCAAUACAUGACUUUAAAACCUUUUUUGCAUUCAUAGUCAAAUAACAUUAUUUUUCUUAACACAUCUUGUAUAUGCAAGGGUGUAAAAUAUAUAGUCAUAUUAAGGGAUGACCAAUUGUUCAAUCAAAUGACUAUAAAAUCACACAUUUAUUCACCAUUCACCAUGGAAUUUUCAAUUAUUUUUCAAUUAUUUUCUAACUAUGAUCAUAAUUAUGUUCAUCACCUAAAUGGGUGAAAUAGCAUUCAUAUUGCUAUUUCCAUACUCAUAAAAUCUUUGAUUCUUUGGGUUCCAAAGUAAAUUUCUAAAUUUAGUACAUUUCAAAAUUUUAUAGAACCACGAGAUUAUAGAUCAUAUCGAAGCCAUAUAUAAAAAGAAUACAUGCACCAUCAUAAAUAUGCACAGCAUGAUCUCAAUUUCAAAUAUAUGAUUAUCACGUUAUAUAUUCUCACUAGAAGAUUUCAUGUUAGAAUAUUGAUCUUAUUAUAUAAGUCAAUAUUUUCCAUUAUUCUAUACUGACUAGAAAUUUUAACCAUAUAUGUGCAUAUGAUUUAUUUCAUUUCCAGUAAAAACCACUUCUAGGCCAAAAUAACAUAAAAAAAAAUCUGUACAAUCAUAUAUAAAACUCAUUUAGCUUAUGGUUAUUUAACAAAAAUAACAACCAAAAUUAUUUAUAUUAUAAUCAUAUACAAACUUUGAUUUUUAACAAUGAAAAUAAUGUUUCAUCAAUAUCACUCAAAUGCUAGUUACUAAUAUAAUGAUUUAAAUAAACAAAUAAAUUCAUAUAUCAAAUUAAAUAUAUAUAUAUCAUAAAAAAGAAAGAAUGUUGUUGUAUUAAAAUUUUCACUCACAAAUUGGAUGGAAUGAAUUAAAUUAAUUCAACAUCAACCAAACAUCUCUAUAUAAUGUACCAAUAGGUACGUAAGUGUCUUUUUAAAAAAUCACAACUUUUCAUGUUUGGAAGUUUAAUCGAAAUAAUAUUAUUUCCUUGCAUUGCUUAAAAAUCUCAUUAACUUCCUUUCUUUCUCCUUUCCAUGAUUGUUAAAAUAUAUGCAUAUGCAUAUCAUAUAUAUAUAUAUCAUAUAUUUAUGUAUCAAUCAUAAUUAUGCAUGUAUACGAUGUGUUUAAUAAACUGACAUGUUACUUUAUCAAAAACUAAUCUAUUAGACACUUUAAUGUACCACUUAUUGCUACAAAGAUUUCUUCUAAAUCAAUAAUAUCUUCUCUAAUUUCUCAUAAAUUGUAAAAAUAGAACUUUAAAAUUAUUGGUGUGUGGGGAUAAUAAUGAACUUAUAAGAAAUUAACGGAGGCUUCAAGGCGUGUAUUAAUGUCACUUUUUUUAAAGUUCUAUUCACCCUCACCUAUAUUAUAGUGUGCAAAAGAUCAGUUAUUGGUAAAUGAAACUCGAUGAUACAAUAAAACUCAAUGAUUGUUUACAUGUUGCACUGACGGAAACAGUUCACUAAACACUGAGAGGAGCAUAGUAAAGAUACAAAUUUUUAUAAAGAAUUUAGAACAAUCUAGGAUGCAGAAAUUCUUUAUAGAUUAAUCUAAGAAUAUAAAAGAUGGUGGUUGAAUAGAAAGAAACGUUUGAUGUGUUUUUUUGGUGUGUUUGACAAAUGGAAUUUAACUUUUAUUUAUAGAAAUUUUCAUGUCUCUUUAUAAGAACACAACUAUCUAAAUAGAUAGUCAUAUCUUUUAACAAUAAACAUAAAUAUUUAAUAGAUGUCUCCUUAAAUAAUCAUGAUUCAUUGUUCAUAAUAAAGCAAUAUAAUUUUUUAAUUUAAGAGACAUACUUCAUCACUAUGAAAUGUGAUAACACUUGGUAAAUAACCAAGACUCUAAGAUUUUCAAGCCUCUAAUCAGAUUUAUGUAUUCGAGAAUAUAAAAUAAAAUUUAUUCUCUAAAGUUUUAAACCUAAGAUUCAGGGAAUUGUAAGAAGCUCUUUUAAUAAAUCUUAAUUGUGUUAAUAAAUAUGUUACUCUUAUUUGUUUAUUAUCAUUGUUUUUGUUAGAACUCAUAUUCAAACCUUUGUCUGAACAUCAAACUGGACAAUGCAUACCAAAGUUUUUAAUCCUCCCCUGUUGAUUUCUUCUAUCAACAAGCAUCAUAGUGGUAACGAAUGCAAUAUCAUCACAACUUAAUCAACUUGCAAGCAAUAUAUUCUCCCAUAGAUAGUGACCAUAUAGACAUAUUUAGGGGCAAGAACUAGGUUACUGUUAGCUGAAAUCUAUUGAAUGUGUUGCACUGCAUUCCCAAAACAAGAACUAGUCUCCCCUCAGGUCAUGUUCAAUUUCAUAAGCAAACAAGUCCAACCCACGCAUAAAUGUUGUAUUGGAGCAAAAUCAAAUUAGAUUAGGUGCUUAAAGAAACGUCAAGGAAUGUAAAAAUUACUCUUUACAAGAAGAAUGAAUUUAAUUGUAAAACAAAAAUAGGAGAAUAAUGCGUUUCAACGUGUUCGUACCCACGUCUUUCUACAUUAACAACAAUGAUUAUGCCAAUUCAGUUAAGACUCGUUCGACUGUUAUUUAUUAUUUAUGAAAUUUAUCAAAUUUAUAAUUUUAAUUUUAGUUAAAUAAGUUUACUUAAUAAGAAAAUCAUCAUAAUUAUAAACAAAAAUUCUAAUUUAAUUAAAAGACUUUUAUGAAAUGAAUUUAUAUAAUAAAUAAAAAAUUUAAGCUUUAUGUUGAGUUAAUUUAUAUUUAAAUUAUUAUGUUUUCAAUCUUCAUUAAUCAAAAAAGGAAUAUUUAUUAUUUUAGUUUUAAAUAAAAAUUUUAAUUAUUUAUACAAUAUGUAACUUUAUAUUCCAUACAUAAAAUUUAUAAAUAAUACAUUUAUAUAAUCUAUUCUAAUCUAUUAUAAAUAUAUUAAUUGUACAUUUCUAGUUAAUUUAUUGACUAUUAAUGAAAGAAAAAAAUAAAAAUUAAAUAAUAUAUAUUUUAAUAUACAAUAUCUUAUUUUUUAUUGUUUGUACAAAUACUUUAAUAAUUAAUAGGAAUUAUUUAUUAGUAUUAUAUCUAAAUGAUCGAAAUAAUUUGUAUAUGUUAAUUAUGUUUAUUAACUAUUAUUUUAAGGCUUAAAACUAUACUCUUUUAAAAAAAAAUCUCUUAAUGAAUCAUUUUAUAACACAUAAAAUUUACAAAAUUAAAAUUAUCUUAAAAAAGAUAAAUAUUAUUUUCUUAAUUUUUUAAAAAAUAAAACUUAUAUCCAUCUAUUUUAUUCUUUACUCAAGAACUUUGGUGACAAAAAAAUUAAGAAUCUGUGAGAAACAUAACUAAGUUAUUUUCUUAUUUUUUUUAAAAAUACUUAUAAAUAUAUUCAUCCAUUUUUUUCUUCACUAAAAAACUUCGAUAAUAAAACCUUUAAGAACUCGACGAAAAACGCAUCCAAACUUAGUUUUCAGUGGCAAACCUUAGAUUUUGACAAACUUCUUUUCUAUUUUUAAAUCUUAAUUUCAAUUAUUUUCUCACUCCGUUAAAAACUCAUGUAUUUAUUUUUGUUAAAAAUAAUUUUCUUCUUUCUUUUUCUAUAUACUGUACACGAAAUAGCUAGGUAAACUUCUACAAUAGAAAACAUAGAUAAAGUCUGAAACUCAAGUACUAAGAAGAAAUUGAGUAAAAAGAAAUGGGAAGAGUAUUGCAAUUAACAGUUAAAAAAAUGCAUUAACAGAAAAGAAAGAAUCGUGGUGGGACUGGAAAGCGUGUAUAAAAUGAAAAGUUUUAAUUUAAACUAAAUUAAUUUAUUUUUUUAUAAUUUUAAUUUUAUUUAUUUUUUAUUUAAUUUUAUUUAAAAGUAUCACUUCUUAUAAAAUGAUUGAGUAGAAUGUCUUUUUUUUGAUGACUAAGACAAUUUGUAUAAUUUAAGUAUCACUUGAGGCAACUGAAUAUAUAAUUUAUGUAACAUUUGUGAUAAAAAAAAUUUAAAUACUAAUUUAAGAAAAAAAAUAUAAUUUAAAUAUCAAAUUAUGAUUUAAGCCUUAUUUUAAAUAAUGUUAAUUUGUAUCAAUUAUAUAAGUAAAUUUAAAAAAUUAUUAUUAUAACAUUUGAAUUGUUAAAUAAAUUCACCUAUUUUAAUUAUGUUGAACAAUUCAGAAUUUUAAAAAUUAGAAAAGAGAAAUUAAAAUCACAUUAAUAUUAGCAAAAAGGACAAAAAUAGCAAUCAUUAUUAUAAAAAAAAACUUUAUAUAUGGUGUGAGAAUUGAGAGUUGAGAGAUAGCGUAGGGGCCCACAAAGCUGACUUGUUGAUGGUAAACAUUCUUUAAUGUCAUAAUCUUUUGCCACGCAACCGAGUUGAGAUUAGCAGAUCAACUCAACUCCAACUACUCAUUUCGAGGCCGCAGCACCAUCUCCCACAAUUAUCUAUCACCUCAGUUCACCACCCCCCUUUGGACUUUAGAUGCCCAACAUCCUUUAAUUACACAACUCUCCCAAUGGGAAAGCGAGUAACAUCAUUUCUCACCCCCAAAGUGCGUAUACUCCGGAGUUUGGAAAUCUUUCUUUGGCAUUUAGAUCUGACAUUCCGUAAUUCUCAAACCAAAUUUUGCAUUGCAUAGUUGUUUUGACAUUAUCAAAGCUUCAAAAACCCAUGCAAAUUGUGUUUAAGGCAAACAAGGCGGUGAAAAAUCAUGUACUUUAUUGAAAGCGAUGAGAUUGUUUAAGCCUGUUUUAAUUCAAUCGAAAUAGUCCCCCACACUCACACUGUCCCAUGAUUGUGAGGUUCGAAUUUGUAGCCCAUUCCACAGACCAAUCUUCUUCACUUCCCCAACUUCCAUGCUUCAUAUUAACCCCCUUCAUCUCACCAUGUGCCUAUUUUUGGUUCUACUCUUUUCAUGGCUGAAUAUGCUUGACCCAUCUUUGGGGAAAGAUGGGUAUGUUUUGUGUAGUUAAUGUUUUUAGUAUUUCUGAGAGGAAGCCAUGAAUGUGAUUCCUUUAAAAAAAAAGACCUCUUCAGUCUCCAAAUAUUCUCUCUGAAGCAAGUAAAGUCAACAGGAGGCAAUGUUACCUCUACUUUUAGUUUGGUUUACUCUCGUAUCUCUUAAUCAACCAGCCAUCUGUUUGGAACAUCGUCAGCAACUGCAACCAGUUUUGCUUCCAAAUGGGUGCGAUGACAAAUGCGGCAGGUUGCACAUACCAUUUCCAUUUCAUCUGAACACUUCAUGUGCCUCUGUUUCCAAUGCUUUCCAUCUUUCUUGCUUGAAUUCAACCACCCUUUACCUCCACAUCGGCAUUCAAAGCUACCGAGUCCUUGACUUCUUCUCUGAUGGUAUACUCGUAGACUUUCCUGGAACUGGAAGCUCCACUUGUCGUCAAUACAACGGCUUGAAUUUCUUCAAUUUUGCGGGAAACGACUACUUGGGAAUAUCUGAUGAUAAUGUGAUAGGUCUAUAUGAUUGUGAAGACUCGUCACUUUGUAAAGCAGAUUGUGAGACGAACGAGUUGCCUGAUUGUGAUGGAAACAGGGGUGGAGCCCUGGCAUGCUGUUAUCCACUUUCUGAUCAUAGCAAUUGGCAUUCAGGGGAUGGGUUUUCGAGUUUUGCCAAGUUUGGAUGUAGGGGGGUUUCGUCGUGGAUAGUUCCGAGGGGAACCAACAGUGGGAAGCGGGGGAUUAAGUUGGAGUGGGCAAUUCCUAGAAAUAAAUCUCAAGGACUUUGUGCCAGCAAUGCAGUUAUGGUGAGUGCUACAACAGUUGAAGCAGGGGUCAGGUGCUCCUGUCAGGAUGGGCUUGUCGGUGAUGGAUUUGCAAAUGGACUCGGAUGCUUCAAGUGUGAGUAAUCUAUUAUUUAUUUAUUGAUUAUCAUCUUUAUUAAGCAAGUAACAUUGAUAAUAUUCUCAUCUUGGCUGAUUAAAUUAGGCUGAUUUGUAACUAAAAUGAUAUUACUUAACUAUUUAUCAAUUAUUCCUUUUUUGGUAUCCGUCUUUGACAGCCUGCAUCAAGGAGGGGCAAGAAGCAUAUGGUGGGGAAUGUGACAACAGCCCAAAACGUACUCAAAAGAAACUUGUAAUUGUGGCUGGUAUGUUAUCAGGAGAUAUCAUUACCGUUAUAAAUCUUCUCUAUCUAUGAUGAUUUCGAAGCCAAAUCACAUCAUACAAUAGGCAUGAAUGUAUGUAUAUUUGUGUGUGUAUGUGGUCAUUUUAGUUUCUUUGGUGAAUGGAAUUCAACUACUUGUUGCGAGAAUUAAUAUCUUUAUCAUUUUUGACAUUCAGGUGUUCUUGCUCCAGUUUUCAUCCUUGCCUCCUUAUUAUUGUUCCUUUGCAUAUUGAAACGACCUGUUAAAUCAAGUGCAUUUGAUAUAGACCAGGCUCGUUAUCAUAGUACCAUUUCAUUUCGGAAAGCUUGUAGGACUAGAUUAUUCAGUUACAGAGAGCUAGACGAAGCAACCAGAGGAUUUGACGAUGGUCAGAAGCUCGUAGAUGGAACAAAUGGCACAAUUCAUGCUGGAGUCCUUGGAGAUGGUUCACAUAUAGCUGUGCAGAAGGUGCAGUGCGAGAAUGAAAGAGACCUAAUUCAUGUCCUAUCCAGAAUUGAGCUUCUAUCAGCUGUUUUACAUAGGAAUUUAGCCCGACUCCUCGGGUGUUGCAUUGAAUCUGGUUACACCUUGAUGGUGGGCUAUGAAUAUCCUGCAAAUGGCACCUUGGAGGAACAUCUGCAUAACAACAGUGGACAAGAAUUUGGCCUUGACUGGUAUAAGAGGCUAAGCAUAGCUGCUGAAACUGCAAGCAUCUUAGCAUACUUGCAAUGUGAAAUUUCUCCACCUAUCUUUCACCAUGGCCUCAAAUCAUCCGGAUACAUAUUUCUUGACGUGGAUUUCUCAGUUAAGGUCGCAGGGUUUGCACUGCUUUGCUCUAGCUCCACCACUGGCCCCCAUGUGCAGAAAAACGAUGUGUACGACUUCGGACUGCUUUUAUUAGAGAUAAUUUCAGGCUCCAAACAUUCAGACAUGCCUUCACUAGCCUUGCAAAAGAUUAAAAGUGGGAAGCUUGAAGAAAUAGUGGAUCCAUCUCUUUACUACCACGAGCAGCCUAUAUUUCGAAGAGAGCAAAUAGAGAUAGUUGCAGACAUAGCAACCAGGUGCUUGUUGUUCGGUGGAGAUGGCAAAAUUGGAAUGGUUGAUGUUGCAAAGGAGCUGUUUCACCUUGCAAAAGAAAGCACCGAUGCAGGAAGUAAAAAGGGAAGUGCAUUGGAAGAAACAUUUUCAAAUUCAAGCCUGCUUCAGAUGAUAUCCAUGUCUCCUGACUCUGUACAUGUGCCUCGAAUUGCAGGACCUGUUUGAUAAAAUCAGCUUGUUCGUCACGUAAUGGCUGCAAAUAUGCUAAAUUAAGUUACCUGCAUUCCUGUCUAUACAAAUUGUGGAUUUGGGAACUUGUUUUGUUGAUUUACAGCUGCUGCUACAUAAUAUGUCAGUAACAUGGUUAUGCUUGUAUUUUCAAAAUCAUGAAAUGGAAAUUUCUGAAACAUGUAUCAGUAACUAAGAUUUAAAACUUAUACUUUCUCAUCGCAAUUUCCCCACUUUUUUUUUUCUUUUGUUCUCGUUACAACUUAGUUUUUUUUUUUUUUUGACAACCUUAGUCGAGGUUUUGAUUUAUUUGAAUGUUCUGUGGAACAACAGUUGAAACCAAUGAGUGGGUACAAAAGUACUUUUCUAGUUAACUUGCCAAUUGGCUUAGAUUUUAUGUUCUGUGGAACAACAGUUGACUUUUCUAGUAAUUUUUUUAUUUUUUUGAAAUAAUUAAAGUAUUUAUAUAACCCUUCUAAUACAUUAGUUUUGUUUUAAGAUUUUAGUCAUUUAAUAAUUUCUCAAUUGAAUUAUUAUCCAAUUAAUUUCUAAUUAAAUAAUAAUAUAAAUAUAAAUUUUAAAAAAAAUAAUGUAUUAACUCUUUUUUAAAGAAAAAUUACAUAUUCCUCAAAACACUAUUCACUUUUCUAAAAGAAUUUCCAUUUAAAAAAAGAAAAGAAAAGGAAACCACCCAUUUAUUAUAUAUUUUUCAUCUAUAAGGUGCACAUUUAUAUUUUUCACCCAAAAAAUAACCAUUUAUUUUAAAAAAUACUUCUUUAUAUUUCUUUCAAAAUAUAACUAUGUUUUUAAAAAUAAUUUUUCAUCCAGAAUUAUGAGUUCUAAUACAGUAAUAGAUAUUUUAUGUUGUGGAAUAAAACUGGUGUCUUAAAGAGGGAGGGAAAACGAAAACGAAAACGAAAACAGAGGUAUGGGGCUUGUCUGGGCUUAAAAUUUGAUUGGGUCAGAAACGUCAUCUUGCACUGAUCGGUAAGCCGCCCAGCCUAGGGGUCAGGAAAACUGGCUGUACGUCCGAAUGACCAUGGGCCUAGACCCUCCUCACUGUUUGGGUCAACUUCAAAAGUAAUAGCCAUUUAGGUUAUAGGUAAUAAUAGUAGGGGUAAUGAUUUAUUUAACAUUCUAGCUUUAUAAAAAAAUUAUUUUAAUUUUUCAUUUAAUUUUUUAUUUUUUAUUAUCUUUAAAUUUGUAUUUUUUUAUCAAAUUAUCUCUUAAAUGGAUGAAAAAUUAACGUAUUUUAAUUUUGUUAAUGUGGCAUACACAUGAAUUGUCGCAUAGAUGACACAUCAAUAUUUAAUUAUUUUUUGAAAAUUUUAAAAAUAUUUUUUUUAUAUUUUUAUACUUUUUAAAUAAUUUUUAAAAAGCUUUAAAUAAUUAAUUAAACACUGAUGUACCAUGCAUAUGGCAACUCAUGUGUAUGCCGCAACAGCAAAAUUAACAAGCAUUAACUUAUUUAUCUAUUUUGGGGUGUUUGACAAAAAAAUAUAAAUUAAAAAUUUAAAAAAUUUAAAAAAUUAAAUAAAGAAUUUAAAAUAAUUUUUUUAUAAAGUUAUAGGUCUAACUCAUAAUGCCUUAGUAGUAUAAGUUUUAGUAUAGUGAGCAUAAUUGUGGUUAGCGAGUAAGCAUAUAUUUUCAGGCAAAUGAUGAGUGUGAGGUUAGAACAGACAAGAGAAAAUCAAAGAUCCCACAUGGACUGUAUAUAUUUGUUUGUAUAGUUGAGAGCUUGUCGUGACAGGAAAAGAUUAAAAAAAAAAUGUGGACGUGAGAGCAACUUAUAUAUGCAAGUACCAAGCAUGCUGCAUGUAGGUCGAAAAUAAGAAACGAGAGUAAAUUUUGGUCUUAAACUGAGACCAUAGGAUUGUGAUGUUAAAAAUAAGUCUUAGGCUUAGUUUUGAUGAGCGAUUAGGUGCGGUGCGUUUAGCUUACUUUUUGUUUCACGCUACAGUAUUGUUAUAAUAUCUAAUCUCAUCGCCACCGCUAUUUUUACACUACACACCGCCCAUCCAAAUUUACCCUUAGUUCUUUCUUGUUAUAUAAUACCCGUCCUCCGAAUCUGAAACCAAAGCCACGUGAAAUAAAGUGCACGAAUACCCACCAACACCAUAGUUUUUCAAACUGCAUCUCCGCCACCCUUUCCUUCACAUUCUACUAAACAUCAUUAAUAAAAAAUAAAAUUGACAGUGAUUAACUAGUUAUUGUGGUAAAAAUCUUUUUCUAUAUUUUUAUCCAGAUUAAUUGUUGAAGUUUCAUCAUCACUAUAAUUAUAUGGGCUUUUUACCUUGUCCCAAUAAAAAAUUCUACAAGCUGACUUACAUCACACAAUGGGUCUUUAAAAUGUAGUAAAAUAGUAACAUAAUAAAAUAAAUAUAUUUGGCAACUUAAUUCAUUUAUUGAAUUUUUUUUAAAAUUUAUUCUAUGAAUGAAAUCAUACAAUUUAAAAAAAAAGAGACGAAAAAACAUUUGUUAUAGGUGGUGAAGAACAAACUCCAUUAAUACAAUAAAGGUUGAAGCCUCAGCAUUAAUAAAACAUUAUGACACAUUGACAGUUAUCUCUGUUAUAACUCAAGUACAAUAAAUCAUCUUAAUUAUACAUGUAAUAAGAUAUAUUGAUGGCAUAUUAUAUACAUGUAAAUAGUUUUGAUUAAUGCUAGUGUGAUUUGAGUUUUUGACAAGGAUAUAAACCGUAAAAAAUAAAUUGAUGGAAAGACAAUUUAAAAAAAAAAUUGAUGCAAUUUGGGUAUAUAUAAAAAUUUUUAAGUUUUUAUUUAAGUCGUAAAAAUUACAUAUCCUCGGACUCUAAAACCAAAGUCACAUGAGAAAUGUGUAUUAUUCCAAAUUAAGACCCACCAAGACCUAGUUUUUCAAACUGCCAGUCCAUCACGCUUCCUUCACAAAAUGAUCGCAAUAAUUAUAAAUAUACGUGUGAUGUGAGGUUUUGACAGGGAUAUAUAAACUAUGAAUAUGAUUGAUGAAAUUAAAGACCCAAUAUUGAAAGAUUCAAAGUAAUUGUCUUUUCAAAACAAGUGGUUUAGAUAAAAGGGUGGAAGUUAAUGGAGCAGGGAGUCUUAUGGUUGGGGGCAUCAAUUUAUGCGUAAUGCAUCUAUUCUGAGUUGUUUUUUUUUUUUCAUGGAGAGACAAUUAAUCAACAAAAGACAGAAUAUGAUCUAUUCUGGACUGUAAUAAAUACCAAGAGAAAAAAAAAUCUCGGUUAAUCAAAGAUCACUUGCUACAUAACAAACUCCAUAUCCAUCCAUUCAGCUCUGGAAGAAACUUCAAUUAAGUGACAUCUAAUCGCUUCCAGUAAACCAAAAAGCUCGACCGAAUUUAUGGUUGCAUGCACCUUGCACGAUAUAUAUAUGAAUUAUGUUGACAGCUCGAUUGAUUUGAAUACAAAAAGGUUCAUGAAAAGGGAUAAACUUUAUGUAGUUUUUGCACCCGAAAACAUGAAUAAACGAAAAGAGAGCUUUAGCUACCUAAUGGACUAAAGGGGUGUCUAAUGUUUAAAAAAAAAAGGGGGACCAAACUCAGUCAGGCAUUUUACUAUAUAUAUAUAUGCUGCUAAACUGUAGUAUAAGCAAGUAGGUACCAGGGUAUUCUUUCAAGUUCCUUGACAUAAAGGUCCAUUGUUUUAGACACUUGUAUUUGCAAUACCACUAAAUGAUUAAUCUCUCAAACUAGACAGCAUAGCCUAUAUGGAAUUCAUUUGUAUGUGUAUAUAGCAAUCUUAUCUAGCUUGCUUUACUUUACUUUUUCUGGUAUGGGGCAUGCCAGUUGUCGUUUCCCUAGUUUUAAUUUCCUAGGGGGGAUCUAAGUUUUAUCAGUUAGAGUAAUUAACAAGAUCCAUUAAUUAUAUCAGCACUAUUUUUUUUCAAUAUUUUUAUCACACAAAUUAUAGCUAGAUCCUUAACAUUUAAUUAUAACCAAAGAAAAGAAAUCCCCACAUUAUGGCAGUGAAUCAGGGGGAGAGUGUGAGUUGUUGAACUAAAAGAAGUAACAAGAAAAUGAUGGUCUCUGGACAAGGUAAGGUUACACACAUCUCUGAAGAUGAUAGAGAGAUAAGGGGGACAAAAGGCCAGCAAAAGAAUUAUGAUUUAUGAAACAAAAAAAACUAUAUAGCGAACUGGAUCGGGGACUGAGGAGGGAAGAAGAGAGAGCCGAGAAGUGGUGGGGGUAACCCUAAGUAAGAGUGUGGUCCUCACCCUAUGAUAUAUAUAUAUACACACACACAUGCAUGCAUGCAUGCAUACAUUCAUAUAGAUAACCUGUUGUGUCUGAAACCACACAGUUGCAACUCUAAAUACAAUUUUAAUUACCAGACAGUAAUUAAUAAAGAAAUAAAUUGGUACUACUACCACUAACAUAUUAAUUUAUUACCUGUAAAGAAAGCAGUAUGUGCAAAAGCAAAACGAUAUACAAAAUGGUGGAGGACUGUGAGGAGCUUUCAUCUGAUCUGAAUACAAGAUGAAAGAGAUAAAAAAAGAGGUCCCCCAAUAUAGGGUUUUGGAAAUAGGUUGCUUUAGCUUUUACAAACAAAGGCACGGGCCUUAUCAGUUUUUGAUGUUAACUUAUGAGAUUUCCUCGUAAAUUCCUCGGUAAACGUAACUUACGGACCUGUUUGCUUAAUUAUAGCCAUAAUAUUCAUAUGUGUUGGACUAAGAAGAGUAGCUGUGAGAUGAGCCCUUUUUUUUUUUUUUCUUAAGCACCAUCAAUGCACUCCACUCUUUUAUACAUUGUACACCCAACUAUUGAGUGUAAAGUAAGUUGAGCUUCCUCCAUUUGUUUGCCUCUUACAGUUUCCUUCGUUCAUUUUUAACCAGUUACCCUUCAGAUAGAAAAUUCUUGUGUAAAUCCCUUGUAUAUUUGAUUUUUUUUAUCCUAAUCAUGUUCAUGAUAUUAUAUAUUUAUAUAAAUUUCAAUACAUUUUUUCGGUAAUACAAUACAUGAUGUUCGUAUGUUGUUUUUAUUACUUUUACAUACCGUUUUAUGUACUAUAUAUUAAUUUAUAUAAUUCUUAUAUACCACGAUCUUGUUCAAAACACUCCACCAAAUAAACCACUUGAACAAAACAACACUUACCUAACUAAAUCUCUUAUAUGUUUGUCAUUUAGAUCAUAGCUAUAUCAUAAUUUUACCAUCGGCUCUACAAAAUAGGAUCAACUCACGUCUCAUCACAUUUUAAUAAAAUAUUCAUAACAUAUUGGCAACAUUCUAUGGUCUUGUUACCAACCUUACAAAGUAAGACACCGAGCCAAAUGGGAUCACAUCAGCAUUCAUGUUUAGGAUGCAUAUAAUUGAUCUCAUAAGUUUACAUAUAGGAUAUUUGAAGGUGUGUUUGUUAUGAGAACAAGUACAUUGAAUAUGAUCCGUUAGGAGAGUCAAUUUGGUUUUUCACUCAAGUGUUUAUGGAUACUUGCUAUUGUCUCAUAUGUUAAUAAUGUAAAUAAUGCUUUAAGAAGUAUUUGGUUGGGUGGAAAUUUUGAGGGAUGGAAGGAGGAAGUAAAAAAAUGAAAAGAAAGUAAAUUUUGAGUGUACUUGAUAAGUAAGAAAAGUGAGAUAAAAGAAAAUCAUAAAAAUGAUUAUUUUUUAUCCUAAUGCAUAAAAAUAAUCUUUCCAAAUUUGAAUGACUAGAGGUGAGAGAAUGCUAGAGAGAUAUAUAUUAGUUCAAGAUUAUGCAUUUUUCGAAUUUUUUUUUUCAUUUUUAUCUUUACCAAGCAAUAGAUGAAUAAAAAAUUACUUUCUCUUUCAAUUUUUCUUUCUUAUUAAACACACUUAUAAAAAGAAAAAUUAUAUUUUCCAUAUUCAAUUUUUCAUCUUUCUAAUUUUCUUUCUACACUAUCAAGCAAAGCGUUAGCUUUCAAGUCCCUUACUGAAAAUCUUACCAUAGUUGAAUCAUCCUUAGCAUUUCCAACUUUUUGUCAAUGGUAAUAAUAAGAUGCAUAUAAGAUAAUGGAGCAUCCUCCCUCUCUAUGGUACUGCAUUAUAUCGUGCAGCUUGAGCUACAUCCACGUGCCAUUUUGAUUUCUGUUGAAGGAAAUUAAAGAUUAAAAGUUAUGUAUGGUUUGUGUUGAUUCAGAAAUGCAUGUACAUGGGUAUUACUUAUAUCUUUGUGUAUUUGUAAUAAUUCAAUACCAGUAAAGAAAUAUGCUUAUUAAGCAUUAGAUAUGAUAUUGGGUUUACAAUUGUGUUCCUAAAAACAUCACAAAUAUUAUUACUUAUGUCUUUUAAAUGUGUUCCUUGCACAUAUUCCUACCCUACAGCAUCAAAACUAGCUGGUUGGAGUUAUAAAUUUACUAAUAUUAUAUCAUAAACAUCUGAACCUAUUUCAAAUAUAAUUUAGAAAUAAAUCAUUAAAUUUUCAUUUCUGAAAAUAUAUAAGUAUAGUUACUUCUUAUAAUUUAAAAAAAAAAAAACAAAGAGUAAAUGAUGGUUGUCCCGAAUGGUCCAGAGUCCAGACAAGUGGGGCUACUGAUUUUUGUGGACACUAAUUGCAAGUGUGAAAAUUAAAUUUGGCAUGCAAUGCCAAUUAAAUUCCCAACCCAAUAGCUGUGGCUUGCCCUGCCGUCUGCCGACUGCCCGGUCCGGCCGCUACAGCUUCUUACAGCUGCACCUUUUAAAUUAACGAAACAAAUGCAUAGAUUCUUCGUCUAAAUUAUUAUUUUAUUUUAUUUUUCGAGUUAUAAAAUUAAAUAUUUUUAUUUAAACCAUUCUGCUUAAAAUAUGCCAAAUUUUAAUUAUCAUUCAUAUACUUUUUCUAUGUUGGGAAUGUAAAUGACACACAUCCUUAAAACUUGUUGUAUAUUGCAAUAGAUUAGAGUAGAGUAGUAGAGUAGAGUAGAGAUAGCUAAUUAAACUGUGUGUUUAAUUACGGUAUAUAUAUAUAUAUAUAUUCUCAAAAGUAGGUUAAUGAAAGCCAUUAAUUAUUUGUUCUAUAAAUUCAAGAAAAUACAUAUAUUAUGUGGUAUUAGUGAAAUUCAGAUUUGGACCACGUUAAUAAUGAAUAGCCACAUCCACCUGCUGAUGACUAAUUAUGUUUUGAUGAAACCAAAUUUCAGUGUAGGUUUUAAAUAUUAUCAAUUCACACCCAAGUCUUUGUCUAACCCAACCUUCUCUAUAUUUUGCGAUUUCUUUUCUAAUAUUAUUUUUUUCUGUCAUUAUUAUUUUGGGUGAAUAAUUAAAUACAUUUUCUAUCCCCCCAGCACCCCACACUUUUAAGCUCUUAGUUUAGAUAAAAAAAACUUUUGUAUGAGUUUUUUGAAAAAUAUUUUUAUACAAAAAUUUUACAUUAUUUUCACUAUUCUAAAAUAAAAAAUAUUUUUAUAUUAUAAAAAAUAUAAAUUAAAUAACAAUUAAAAUUUAAUUAAAAUUUAAAUAAUCAUAAUUUUUAAUUUAUAUUCUAUAAACCAUCCAAACACGUAGAUAGAAUAAAUUUUUCAAUUUUUCUCAACUCUACCAAAAUGAAUUUAAAAAUUUAAAAAUAAAAAAAAAGAACUUGAAAAAUCAAAAAUCAAAUUGAACCGAAUCGAAUUAUGAUGAUUGAUUUAAAAAUAUAUAAAAAAACUCGAUUGAACCAGAAUAUUUAAAUUAAUUAUUUAUGAAAUUAUUUAUACUUAUUGAUUUACUUAAAAAAGAAAACUCUUCUUGACUACCAAAAUUACACAUGACUAAAGGUGUAUUUUGAAAUUCAAAUUUAAAAACUGUCUACCGAAGUCCCACUCCACUCUUUUCAAGUUCUAAUAAGUGAUUUACAAAAAAAAUUGAUCAUUAUAAUCAUUGAUUCUUUCUUAGAAAAAAAAUCAAAUCAUUAAAGUUUCAUUUUAUUGGUGUUUAAUUUUGUUGUUGCUUUUCUAGAUUUUUUUUUUUAUCAUUUUGGCUUAAUAUGUUAUUUGAUACUUAAGUUUAAAUUUUUUUAAUGAUACAUGUGUUGCUUUUUUUUAGAUCUCGUAUAUUUAUUUAAUAAAAGUUCUAUUUUUUAGUACCCAAAAGUAAUGAUGUUAAAAUUUUAGUGUUUAAUUUGAGCUCUAAGAUUGAUUUGAUGAAAUUAAUUGUUAAUAUUAUUAGGUUUGAAUUCUUCAUGACAUUGUUAAUAAAAUAAAUUUAAUGUUAAUUGUGAAUUUAUCAACUGCAAUCUAAUGAAUGUGAUUUAAUUUGGGUUUUAGGGUUUAUUUGAUGAAGUUAAUUGUUAAUAUUAUUAGGUAAUUAUGAUUUUUCAUCAAAUCAACUCUAAAACCUAAACUUAACACUAACAAGUUAACAUUGUCACCUACAAGCAUCAAAAUGUAUAACUUUUGUCAAAUACAAAUACCGCAUUGGAUCAAAAAAUAAUACAAGUACGACAUUAAAAAAAGUGUCAAACUCAAGUACCAAAUUAUGUAUUAAGCCAUUCAUUUUUAUUAAAAAAAAACUAAUGUAAUAUUUUAUUUUAUUUUUUGCUAAAAAGCUAAUGAAAGUACAAAAAAUAAUAAUUGAUAAAUUCAACAAUUUAAUUAUUAAAAUAAAAGUUGUGAAAGUAAUAAGCCACUCCCUCUAUUUUAUUACAUAUAAUUUAUUUUAUUUAAAAAAACACAUAAAAACAUGCAGUAAUUACUAAUUGUUUGAAUCAUAAUUCAUGUACAUAUUAACUAAAGUGAUGAUAAAAUAUGUUGAUCAACUUUUGUUAAAAACUAUCUUGAAUCUUAAAUAUUGCCUUUUUUAACCAAAAAAAUGUAUGUACAUAUAUAUAUUCAAGUUAUGCUUGGGCUUAUUGUAGUAAGCUUGUGGUUAGUUGUUAUAAUUUUGGAGGGUAGGACCAUUUAUCCCUCUCUAUAGUUUGAGCUAAUCUUAUAAUUGUCGAGAUAUUAAUACUAGUAUUCAGCCGAAUGUAGUCACAAUAAUUAGCGAGUUGCAAUUUAUUCCAGUACAUUUUUCUGUCAGCUGAAAGUCAUAAUUGAAAUCACUUGCCGUCUUAAUUGGAGGCAGUUCAAAAAGUCAGAAGGUAAAUAUUCCAGGGUACAUGCAACUGUAAUUGGUACCAAAAUAUAAAACGUCGCUGUAAUUAAGUACUCUUUUUGGAGUAUUAUGGGAGUGUUUGUAUAACCAUUAAGAUUUAUUAAGGGUAAUUUAGAUAUUUUAUAAAAAAAUAUUUUCUUAUAAAUUAUAAAUUUUAUUAUUAUAUUUUAGUUAUUUUUAUAUUAUUUAAUUUAAUUGUUUUCAUUUUUAAUUCAUUGUUAUCAUUUUAGACUCGCUUGUGGAAUUUUUUUACCUACUUGUGGAAAAAACACUCCCUACUUGAAGUAGGAUUAGGGUGGUGACACAUCCCGAGUAUUCCUACUAGGGUUGUUGCCCAUUCAUUUUCCAUGAAGGGAUUUUGGGCCUCUCUCAUAUCUAGUCCAAUUAUAAGUAUUUUCUCAACUUUUCGACUCAAUACUUUAUAAUCUAAUCCAACUCAAUUAUGUUUUUCUAUUUUUCAAAAUUAAAUUCAAAAUUUAUAUAUUUAAUUAAAUAUUUUUCUCAUCCCAAUUUUACCUUGGUAAAUUUAUGAUGAUUUUACCCCUAAUAAAAUUUUCGAAAAAUAUAUUUAAUAUUUCACCAUUCAACUUGUUCACUAUGAUGAUAUUGUUUAUUUUCAUUUUCGGGCUUUAAAAUAGCUUAAAAACAUAAACUUAACCUUCUGAUCUUUUUUUUUAGAAUUCCUUAUUCCUUAUUCAUUUCUCAUUUUCAUUUCUAUUUUGAGAAAACCACAUUUAUUUACAAAUGAUUUUGUACAGGCCCAAUUUUGCCCGGCCAAUUUAAACAAAAACCAAAAAAAAUAUAAAAAUAAUAAAAAUAGUCCAUUUUACAUAAAGCCCGAAUACAAGGCCCAAAUCUGACCCAUUUUAUAAACAGACCCUAAACCCCUAACCCAAUCGGCCCAAUAGGCCCAGUGUCCAAACUGGGUCUCAACUAGCCGAAACCCUAGCUACCCUCAGCGCCGCGCCUCCCUUCUGCUGCCCACGUGCUUCAGCAGCGCAUUCGACGCCCGAGGUUCUGCUCCCCAUUGUCCCGUUGCACCAAAACGACCAUCUACAGCCCAUUAACCUUCGUGUACCUGCAAAAUAGAGCAAAAAAGGAAAACAAAAGAGGACAAUAGAGCAAAAAGGCAAAAUAGAGCAGAAACGAAGCAAAAAACAAGCAAAGCAUAGACAGUAGCAUAGAGGAAAUCAAUUGUAUUUUCGGCUAUAAAGCCCAAACAGAAAACAGAUUGUUUUUUUACACAUGCAUACUGAAAUACAAAAAAGCAACUAAAAAUCGAAAGGUGACUUUGAACGUCUUGUAUUUCUUUCUUUUUUGAAUCUGUUUCGUCUUCUUUUUGCAUUUGUUUUUUGGUAUAACGAAAUAAAACAGAGGGCUUACCUCGUGAAUGAGCCACUGGAAUCUAUCAUCUUCGUCGGCAUCGAAGUUUGAAGAGAUUUCAAGGCUGAAAAAGCAACCCGAGGCUCGGGCGGGCUGGUCGCAGUUCAUGGGGGCAGAUCGGCGCCUAGAGGAAUAUUUAAGGAUCGGCUGAGAGGGAUAAAAUGGGGGCUAGGGUUUCCGUAAAAAAAACUGAUGGUCUCAUUUGUUUUCUUAAAUGUUAUAUUUAUAAUAUGGAAGAAACGACGUCGUUUUAAGCCAGUUUCAAUGGCUUCCAAAACGGCACCGUAUAGGAUACCCGAUUUGACCCGACCCGAUUGCCUUUGGGAUCCGCGUGUUUCUGCAGUGAGGGGAUAAUUACACGAUGGGUCCCCCUUUCUCGCAUGAGCAUUCAAUUGCGCCUCGCUUGUUUUGCUUCAUUUUUUUAAUUUGGUUCUAUAGUUCGCGCAUGUUUGCAAACGGGUUCGUGCCUUAACGCAGCGUUUUGGGACCUGGAAAAUUUCCAGAUUUGAUCCUUGUGAAUUCACACGCGUCGCACGUUGGUCCCUAUUGUCUUCCCAAUAAUUUGUUUUAUUUACAGAUUAUCCCUUUUAUUUUAAAUUUAUUUUAAUUAAGUCUGUUAUCUAUACAAUGCUUAUUUUUUAAGGAAUUCGCUUAAACCUUUUAUGUAUCGAGAUUAUUUUAUUUAUUUUAUUUUGUAAAAAACAUCAUUGCUUUAAAAUUUUCAUGUUAUAUUAUCCUAACAUUUUGUACAAUAUUCCAUUUAAAUAUUUUUGUAUAUAUAUUUGUACACGUAUGCUAUUUUAAUUGAACUUUCCAUUUAAAAUACUCAUUACUUUAAAGUUCUUAAUAUUUUCAUACAUGUGUUGACCUAUUUUGAUAACUUUAAUUUGUUUUUAUAAAAUCAACAUUUUUAAGUUCUUUUUAUAUUAUAUUAACAUUUUUUGUAAUAUUUCAUUCACACGUUUUUAUGUUUGUACAUGUAUAAUUUAUAGUAAAAUUAGUUUAAUCUUAUAUACAUAUUUAAUCCCAUGUUAUUCUCGCAUAUAUUUUUUUCUAAAUUUAUUUAUGUAUAUAUAUGUUUUUAAAUCUAUUAUAUAUAUAUAAGUGUUUCCUAAUCUCAUAUCUUAUUAUAUAUUUUUUACUCUCCUUUUAUAUUCUAUGUAUAUUAUUAAUCUUAUUUUAUUUUGCACACGUAAUUUCUUUUAAAUUUAUUUACAUAGUAUGUAUUAAUGUUAUUUAAAGAAAAAUCUCACAUGUCUUAUGUUUUUUUUACAUUAUUAUUAUACGUAUAUAUAUAUAUUGGUAUUUAUAUUUGAUUUAUACAUCAUUAAAUUCGUGUGUUUAUACAUAUAGUUUUCUUAUUAUGUAUAUAUAUAUUUUUUAAAUCUGUUACAUAUAUGACUUAUGGAAAAAUUGGUUUAGUCUUAUAUACAUUAUUAAUUUCAUGCAAAUUUUUUUACAACAAAUAAUUCCCAAAUCUAUUUAUAUAUAUAUGUUUUGUGAACCUAUUAUGUAUAUUUCUUAAAGUUAUAUCUUAUUAUGUAUCCUUGCUAUACUUUCACAUUCUACAUAUUAUCAAAAUUUUCUUUAUUAAGUGUAUUUUAAUAAACAUUUUUACAUGCAUAUAUUAUUUGAUUUAAAAGUUUUCAUUCUAUAACACAUAUUUUAAUGAAUGCAUAUAUAUCUUUAGUUUGUUUUUACAAAUAGUUUCAAAUUCAACAAUUCAUUUAUAAUAUAUUAUGUGUUCAUCCUUUUAAAUUUGUCUCAUACAUUUUUUAAUUUUCAUGUUGUUUUGCAUAUUUGGCAUUUAAUUGUGUUGUAUUAGGCUAUGUAUAUUAUCAUUGUGUAUUAUUUCCGUUUUUUAUUUCUAUUAUAUGGAUCAUUCUUUAUUCAUGCAUACAAAAUUGAUAAUAUUUUUCUUAGAUUGGUUGAAUUUAAUUGUUUAUUUUGUUAGUUGAUUAAAUGAAUUAUAUUCAUUCAUCCAUCAUAGUACUUCAUACAUGCAUAUUAUCUUAUGUUUUAUUUUUCCUUUUUGGGUUUACAAAUAUCACUUUAUAGUUCUCAACUCUUUAAAACUAAUUAUUCCAUAUUUAUUUCAAGUCAAAUUAAUGCCUUUCAAGCUGGUUUUAUAAUUACUCGUUUAAAAAUUCCUUAAAACGAAAGCAAUGUUUGAUGUUUGAAAAUUCGAGAAAUCGUGCCCUAUCGUGCUGGGUUUCGAUUUCCCAUUUGUUCAAAAUAAUCGAACCUUCCUUUAGAAUUUCACUCGUGUUUUUCUAAAUUUUAAAACAAGGCAAUGUUUGAUGCUUGGAAAUUUGGAGAACCGUGCCCUAUCAUGCUGGGUUUCGAUUUCUCGUUUAUUCAAAAUAAUCAAAUAUUCCUUUAGAAUUUCAUUCGUAUUCUUUAAAUUCUAAAACAAGGCAAUGUUCAAUGUUUGGAAGUUCAAGGAAUCGUGCCCUACCGUGCUGGGUUUUGAUUUUUCGUUGGACUAAAUGAUUGGGCAUCUUGUUGUAAUUUUCAAUGUAUAAAUUUUGGAAGUCGAAAAUUUAUCGUGUUCUUGAGGGAAUAAAAGAUCGUGUCCUAUCGUGUUGAAUAUGAUGCUGCAUUCCUUUGAAGCAAGAGAAUUUUGACAAUCAACUUGAGCUAUUCAAAUGUUUUCGAAGGAACCAUAUUUCAAAAAUAGUUUCAAAUCUCAGACAUAAGGACAGUACUUAAUCAAUUUGGUACCAAUUUUGGGCGUAGUGAGGGUGUUAAUCCUUCCUCAUACGUAACCGGCUCCCGAACCUAUUUUCUCAAAUUUAUGUAGGCCAAAAUUGAUUUAAAUGGAAUAAAAUAUUUUAUCAGGUGAGGCAAUCGCACCUAAACAAAAGAUUGGUGGCGACUCCACGUUUUGUUUUCAAAAAGUCGAUCCCCAUUUUUAAAUCUAAAAAAUGGUUUCGAGAGAUUUCAUUUUCAUUUUGGAGAAAAUCAUAAUCAUUUCCUGAAUGUUUUCCAUUUCUAUUCAUUCUAUUCAUUUUGAUUCAACACGCAAUUCAUUUCUGGUUUCAAAGAGCUAGCUGAGGGAUCGAUUGGAUAUAUGCAAUUAAGGGUGAAUGUUCGAUUGAGUCAAGUCGAAUCAAAUAAAAAAUUUUCGAGUUAGUCGAGUUGACAAAUCCUAUUUUAGCAACCGAACUCAAUUUGAAUUUUUUACGAAUCGAGUCAAAAAAUUUCGAGUCAAAUUAAGUCGAGUUAACGAAUCCUAUUAUUUAUACUUAAUGUUGCGUUUAGAUGGAAUGAUUAUUUAACUAGUAGACGAAGUAUAAAAUUAUUUAACUACAUAAACAAUAUAAUAAUUUUUCCUUUUAACUUAAUGGAUAAAUAUUUAUCAAAACGACAUAGUUUUGACUUUUAACUUAAUUAUUUUGAAUUUUAAAUUUUAAAAAAGUAAUUAUUUAUCAAAAUGACAUAGUUUUAUCUUUUCUUAUUUGAAUUUUCAAAUAAUUCGAAUUGUGUAAUUCAUAUUUGAGUUAGACCGAAAAACUUAAUUUUUUUAUUCGAGUUGAUCCGAAUAACUUGAUUAACUCAAAUAACUCAAACUAUUUAAUUCAAAAUUUGAAUUUUUUAUCGAGUUUUUUGAAUCGGAUCGGAUUUUGCUCACCUCUAUAUGCAAUUGAGGCUCAAAUGAUUUAUAAUUAAGUUUCAACUUUUCACCUAUUAAUAUAAACUCAUUUAGUCACGAAAUCAUUCCACUAUAGUAUCGUGACCAAGCUCUCCCCAAUGACAUACCAUUACAAAAGCAACUCGAUUAGUAUUCGUCCAAUGACCUUGUCAUAACUGUGUUACCCUCAUAAGAUAUCCUUAAUCUCUUUAAGAUAAUAUCUAUUAUCUCAAUAUGAUCCUAUUUUAUCUCAUGGUAACUAUUACAUUUCCUUCAUGAAAAGUCAAUUACUAUCAAAUAGUAAUCAAGUUAUUCAUCACAAAGACAAACGACCAAUAACCACAUUUACUUUUCAUCAACCAUGUAAUGCCAAUGAGAGGAUAUCAUUUACCUGUGUCUCGAGCUAUGAAUUCCAUUGUUGUGAAUAGCACUACAUCUGUAGAAGUCGUACACCCAACACACAGCUUUUGAUUCUUUAUCUAUUCAAACUCAGACUUUUACUUACAUCAAAAUGUACGAGUCACACAUACAUAAUUUGUCAUCCACUCAGGAUAAUGUAUGCCAUACUAUGAACGUCACAAGUGAAUAAAUCCAUAAACGAAUCUAGAGUCCAUUCUUCUUAGGUCCUAUCUGAUAUAUUGUCAGUUUGGUCAGUCACAUUAUGUCUCUAUUUUAUAGGAGUCAUCCGUUCCAAUGCCCAAGGCAAAGAAUCUCCAUAAUUGGAAUUUGAUAUAUGGCACAUUAGUCUUUCAAUUGAUUUGCUCAUUUUUUAUUAGAUUAAAGAUAUGUUCAAGUUCAUCUACUAAUACAAACUAUUUUUUCGUAUUAUGAUCCGACUACGUAAUACCGCUUAGUAUUAGUUUAAAUGUUAGACAACUAAUAAGCAACAUUUAUUUCCAUUUUGCUUUGCAUGCAAAAACCAUAUUAGGAUAAUCAUAUAAAGUAUAUUAAUGUAAUCCAUGAAUUUGUUUUAUAAUUCAAUCUGUUUGAAAAAUUACAAGUUUAUAAACGAAUAUACUACACUUAAGACACUAGAUCCAAUAAUAAGAUCAUUGGACAGUCAUUUAAUAAGUAGCUUUUGUAGUUGUAUAUAAUAAGGAGAUCUCAGUCAUGAUACUUUAGUGGAAUGGUUCCAUGACUAAAUAACGUUGUAAUUAAUAGACAAAGAAUCAAAACUUAAUUACAAAUUACUUGAGCCCUAAUUAUAUAUGUUCAAUCAAUCAUUCUGCUAGCUCAAUAUGACCUUGAAAGUUUGUAUUAGAAUCCAUGAGAUGAAUCAAAUGAAAACGAUGAAUUAGAGAAGUAAAUCACAUGUAUCACUAUCCGCAACAAAUACAUUUUGUCACAACGAACAAGAGAUUACUUAAAGAUAAAAUUAAUUAUUUCAGAUUAUUUUUUAAUUAUUUGUAGUUAAAUAAUUAUGUUGAAGUGGAAAUUAAAUUAAUUAGUCACAGUAGCUUUACUGAAAAUGUUAAUUAAAUUUAUUUUCUAAAUUUUUUAAACUCUUGUUGAAGUUAUAUUUUGUUUACCAAUUAAAGGGUCGGGAUGACUUUUUUUUUUUAAAUGGUGACAGUUGGAAUAAUAUCACAUAUGUGGCGGGAGUUCGGAGAACCAAGUAUUUCAUACUUUUUUUCAUGAAAAAUUGUUUAUAUUUAUUUAAUUGAUACUUAUAAAUAUAUUAUAUGAAAUGAGUUGCGAGGCGAGUAUAGUGAGGAUUAGGUGGGUUUGGGGACCCGCGUGGGUGGUAGGAUGGGGAUGAAAAUUCUUGGCGGUGAUGGGUGUGGAGGGAGCAACCCCCCACCCGGCCCGCCCAAUUGACAUCCCUAAUCAAUGAUUGAGUAAUUAAACAUAUAUUGGAAUUUAUUUAAAUAAAUUAUUUAAUUCAACUAUAAAAAAAAUUGAUUAUGCAUGUACAUGUUUUAAAACCUUUCCUAUUAUUUACUCAUGUCCAUAUUUUUUCUGUUAUUUUUAAGGCAUUAGAUGGAGAGGUUGCAUCAUUUUAGAAAGAAAAGAAUUGGAUACAAAAGAUUAAUUAUACUUUUAAAAUUAGAAACAACACUGAAUUGGUGUUAAAAAAUUUAAUAAUUAAUUAAAAUUUUUUGAAAAUGCGCCAUCUCAUUAUUCACUACGAGAAUAAGGAUUAAAUUGAGUUCAAAUUGUAACGCCCCAAUUUUCGGGAAUUCUAUGAAUGUUGGCAAAAUUUCAUGCUUUAAUUUUGUCAUUUGUGAGUGAAAUUAUGAAAUAGGACCUAUGUGAAAAUGUUUGAAAAUGCUAUAGGCUAAAUUGAAGUGGCCAAAUAAAUAGGAGUGCAAAAUAGGAGGAUUUGCAUGACAAACCUCCCAUUUUACAUGAAUUAAAAUGGUUGUUGUUUCAUGUUCUUUUGAUGAAAAAAAUGGAAGAUAGGUGAAGUUGAGCCAAACAAAUGAGCAUGCAUGUGCCUUAGAUGUUAAAGGGAAAAAUCAGCUAACAUGUUGUGCUUUAAAAUGAUGAAAUGGAAAUUAUUCUUAAGUAAAAUCAUAGAUAUGUGAUGAUUGAUUGGUGAUAUACAUGUUUAAAUAACAUGCAUGCAAGGUAUGUGUGAAAGAGUGAUUUGGUAAUAAAUCUGCUUGGGACAGCAGCAGUAACGUGACUUUGGAAAAUCACCAUAAAUUGUGGGAGAUGAAUUAGAAGGUGAAUAAAUUAUGUAAUUAAAUCUUAAUGAGUCUAGUUUCAAAUGAAAUAAACGAGAACAUAUUUUGAAUUCUGUACAAUGAGAAAUUUGAUUCGUAAUGAAGAGUGGUCAGAUUAGUCAAACAGUGAAACAUGGGAAACUUUAAGAAAAAUCUGGUAUUGAUUGGCCAAACCAAAAAUUCUGAAAAUUUUAUGGGUAGAAGAUAUAUGAGUCUAUUUUCAGGGAAAAUUAACGGCACUUGAUUUGGAGUUUCGUAGCUCCAGUUAUAAAUGAUUUAGUGACUGUUGCUCAGGAAGACAGCUUGCAGUGAAAUUAUGAUUAUGUGGUAAACAUUGAUAAAAAUUUGUUAAUGAGUUGCUUAUUAAUUUCUUAUAAGCUUACUAUGAUCUGUAGGUGUGGUUGGCCGAAUAUUGUAAGGGGUUAAUACGUAGUUUGUAUUUAAAUAGUUAGAUUAACGUGUUAGUAAUCCAAUUGUCGGCGGUUCGUGUGUGGAUCUCGUCAGCAUUUCGUCGCAAACAGGUGUGUAACUAACACCCUCUUUCUUAGUCUGGAUCGGCAAAAGCCGAAAUGCCGAAAACCGGUAUUUUGUAGAUUUGCGAGUGUGCGAAUGCUCGUGAGGUAAAUCGAUUAAUGUUUUUGGUAAGCUGCAAUGUUUGGACUGCAAAGUGCAUGAUUUCUGUGCCCUCGAUAUUUUUGGGCUUAAUGGGCCAAAAUUGGAAUGAUGGGCCAAUGGGCCCAAUUCGGUAAGAACCCUCGGUAGUGAUUCUGUUAGUACUUGAAAGGUAGGAAUAUGCAUGAAAAACCCUAAAAUAGAUAAAUUACUGAAAUACCUUUAAAAGUGGAAAAUUUACAGUUUUACCCCUAGGAGAUAAAUUACCGAAAUACCCCUAGGGUUAAAUUGACCUAAAUGCAUGUUUGACUGUUGUUAUUUACUGCAUGCCAUGUUGUUAUUAUCUGAUGCAUGGGACUGGGAUAUUAACGGAGGAAGUAUUGAAAGUGGCUUGUCCACGUACUGGAGGCUUUGCCUCAAUUUACUGUUAACUGAGCAGCAAGGCUGCAACUGUGGAGUGUUGGGCUGGGUGGGUUGAGCUAUUCCCCACAUGGAGUGUAUGGCUGGUACGGGUGGAGUGUAGUGGUUGGUGGGUUGAGUAGUCUCUCCAAAUGGGCUUGCAUAUGUUUACUGAUGUUGCAUGUAUUUUGGAAUGGGCCUAUGGGCCAUACUGUUAUCUGAAUAAGGGGCUAAGGCCCAGUUUAUUGUAAUCUGAAAAGGGCUCUGGCCCAGUACCACUGUUACCUGAAUAGGCUUAGGCCCAAUAGGCUUGAGCUGACUUGGGCUUUGAAUGGGUUUUCCUUGCACACUGAGUUUCCCCAAACUCACCCCUUUUAUUUUUAUCCACGUAGGAAAUCCCCAACCAUAGUGGGCUUGGAGCUGUGAGGGAAUUCGGAGUGGCCACCCAUUCUGAAAGUUUGAUUUUCUUCUGGUGAACUGGACAUCCUAAAUGUAAUAAGGCCGCUUAAUUAUUUUUUAUGGUUUUAAUAUGUAUUACUAAGAUAGGUAAUACUUAUUUUAACUGUUGAAAUUGGAUAGCUUUAGGGUGCGUUUUCAAAAACAACAGUUGAUUUCAAAAUAACACGACAACAAGCAAAGCUUCCGCAAUGAAAGUAUUUUCCAAAAUUAAUCACUUUUCCUAAAAAUGACAUAAUCAAAUCGGUUUCUAGAAAUAUCCAUGACGUUAAGGUGUGGCAAUGGCGGUAUGCAUGUCUAGGAUUGGAUUCGAAGGGAGCUUGGUACUUAAGCAGUCCGAUGGACUCACCACCUCUUUUCCGGUUUCCUACCUGGUGCACAGCUUCCAUUCACUUUAACCUAUAAUGAAAUUAUCUUUUAAAACACUAAGUAAGUUUUUCUGGUUCAACAAUAUAAAAUGUUUUGAAUGCUUCGAUGUGGCAUGUCGGAUCCGGUCAUAACGUCUGGGCCGGGUUUGGGGUGCUACACAAAUCCUGGUCGUUAUUCCCUUCCCUAAUUUUAUAGGGAAAUUUAGUUAUAUAGGCAAACAUAUGGCAAAAGUAUUCAAAUUAUAUAAAAUAAAUAAAUUCUCAAUAAUCUUAUGUUUGUUUUACUCUAUAAAAAUAUUUAGGAUAAAUUAUUAAAAUAGUCACUUUUGUUUACUUCAGGUUAUAUUUUAGUCACUUACAUUAUUGUGUUGUAAUAUUUUAGUAACUGAGCCAUUAUUUGCUGUUAAAUUAUACAAUUGGUCCUUAUAUUUUUUUUCGUUUUGAGUAAUUUAAUUUUUUCUUUAUUUUUUUCGUUUUGAGUAAUUUAAUUUUUUCUUUUAUGUUUUUUAACUUUUUUUUUCAUUCUCUUCUGUUUCUCCCUCUAUUUUCCUCCUUUCUCCAUUUCUUUUAAUAUAGUUUUUCUAUGUUUUCUAUUUGUUAAAACUAGCCCCUAUAAUUUUAUUUUGAUAUUGGAUAUUUCUUGUACGUUCUAUUUAAUCUUCAUUUUGAUUAGUUUUUAAUAUGUUUUUAGCUUAGGAUAAUAAUUUUGUAUUGAUCUUCAAUGAAAACCUAAUAAAAAGUUUUUUUAAUAUUUUUUUGCUUAUUAUAGACAAUUGUGAAAUGGGAUUUCUGAUAUUUUAUGGUUAUUGUUGAAGCCAUACAAAGGAUCCAAAAAUGGAUUAUUGUGGUGAUUUUAUAGAAUUGCUUGGACUGAUAUUUCAAUGAAGAUUCUCAUGAUAUUGGUUAACCCUUCUUAUUCCAUUAGGGUUAGCAUGGUUUCUAGUUCUUAGCACCAAUUUGCUAAGCAAAUCAAUGUCUUUAGUAGAAUUUAGCUUGGUGUUCUAUUUAUCUCGAAGAAGAAUCGAUAUUGAUUAAUUCAAUAGGAUCUAUUUUAUUCAUCUUGCAGUGAUUGAAAAUGAUCUCUGGGUUUACACAUAGAGUAUGUAAUCAAAUAUAUUUGGCUUUAACAAAUAAAUAAAUAAAAAUAAAAUUGUUCAAAAAAAAAGUAUAGGGAUUAAUUUUAACAAAUAGAAAAUAUAGAAAAACUACUUAAAAGAAAUGUAGAAGGGAGAAAAAAAAGAGGGAGAAGCAAAAGAAAAUGAAAAAAAGAAGAAGUUAAAAGAACGUAAAAGAAAAGAAUUAAAUUGCUCAAAACAAAAAACAGGGACUAAUUUAUAAUUUAACCUAAAAUUUUCGUUUGAAAUGAUGAUUUAACAUACCACAUCAGCUUACCGUUACACUAUUAACGGCUCAAUGACUAAAAUGUUAUCACAUGAUAACAUAAGUGACUAAAACAUAAUAUUUCAAACAUAAAUAACUAAAAUGUAACAUAAGGUAAAUAAAAAUGAGUAUUUUAAUAGUUUACCAAAAUAUUUAAUAUUAUAACUCUUUGCCGGUGAUAAAGAUUCCAUACAUGUUUUUUAUAUUAAAACAUAAAUUUAAUAAAUAAAUAUGUAAAAUGUUAAAAUCAUAUGUUUGUUUUAAUCUAAAAAUAUAUUUAAUAUUAUAACUCUUUGUUGUGAUAAAGAUUCCAUACAUGUUUAUUUUAUUAAAACAUAUGUUUUAAAAAAUAAAUAUAUAAAAUGUUAAAAUCAUUUUAUUACCUUCAUUAGGUUCUAGUAUAAUGUGUGUUGCAUCUGAAUAUAUGCAUUUAUAUUUUUAUUUCAUAUAAUUCAAGAUGGUUUAUUUCAACAUUUAUUACAAAUUUGAAUAAAUGUAAAAAGAAAAAAAAAAUCUAUCUUGAAAUUUUAUAUAAAUAUCUUAAAAAUUGAAUUCCAAUAAAUAAAAAUUAUCGAGAAUUAAGAUUGGAGUGUGAUUUAAUUUGUAUGUUUACAAUAAUUAUAGAUAAUAUUAACUAUGCUUUUAGUAUAUUGAAAUUAUUGAAUUAACCAUUGAUUUUUAAAUUUAAUGUUAAAACAUUAAUUUCAGUUUUAGUUUUAAUAUUUAAAAAUAUUUUUAACAUUUUAUAUUUUAAUGUUUUUCAUUUUAAAACCAAAUAACAAUAGUAUUAAUUAAAAAUAAAUUCCAAUUGUAUUAAAUAUAAUUAAAUUUAAGUUUUUAUGAUCAAAAUUAACUUGUUUAAUUGAGAUGAGAUUAUUCUAAUAUAUUUUUCAAUUUAAUAUUUUAUUUUCAUAAGUAAAAAAUAAUUGAGAUUAAAUCAUCUAAUUGUAUUAUGAAAAAAAUGAAAUAAAUUAAAGAACAAAUAAAAACUUAAACUUUUUAAAUGCAUAUUUAAAAAAAUGUAAAAGGUUCAAAUUCUUAAAAAAAAAAAUUUAAAAUUAUUAUAAUAUUUGAUUAUUUUUGAGAUACUUCCAACUUAUCGAUGUUAAUAUAUAAUCUUUUUGGGGCUUAUAGAAAUAGUAAUUAGUAAUUAGAUUUGAGUAAACCAUAAAGCAAGUCAAAUUCAUGGUGCAAAAGUAUAGAACCAAAAGUGAGAAAACAAAACCUAUCAUUCAUCUUAAAAAUAAUUUCGAUAUUCCUCCUGAAAUAUUGUUCAUUCUUCCGCCUUUAUACUUUGUUUCAUACUUGUGGAUCUUCAAAAUAAUUUUGAUAUUGCUCCUCAAAUAUUGUUCAUUCUUCCACCUUUAAACUCUGUUUCAUACUUGUGGAGUUGCGUGAAUAAUGCUAAUAUUUUUUUUUUAAUAAAUAUUAAAUGUUAUUUGUAAUAGUAAAUCUUAAUCUUAACUUUUAUAUUACUUAUAACACUAAUUAAAUGACAAAUAAUUUAAAUUAAUAUAUAAUAAUUAAUCGAUAUAUUCAAUAAAAAUUCUAUUAUACAAAUAAAAAAAUAAUGGCAAUUAAGUAAUAUAAUGAAUAAUGAAGAGUAUUCCCGUUGAUUCAGAAGUUUUUUUAAACUUGUGCUUUUAUAUAAAUUAUAGAUUAGAUUACAACACAUUCACAUUAUGAUUAAAAAGAAAAAAUAUUACAAAUAUAUUUAUAAAAGAAUUGAAGUAAGAAAUAAAUAAGACAAUGGUUGAAAUGAUAAAGUUAAUAUAUUAAAAGUCAUAGUGACCUAGGUUCAAAUAUCAUUAUAUGCAAUUCUCUAGAUUUUAUAUAAAAUAUAAAUUGAUAAAAUAUUUUUAUAAUAAUAUUUGUUAUUUUAUAAAAGGAAUGUGAUUAGGACAGUGUGUGCCUUGUUGGUCGAAUAUUAUAUUACGGCUCGCAAUGUUACAUUUUGGAAUUAGACUAUAUUGUUUGAAUUUUCAACAUUCCCAUGAACCCGAUAAUAUAGGCUGUAAUUUUAUUACUAGGUUAUCUUAAAUUUUGGACUAAAUUACCUUUUAUUUUUAUUAUUUUAAUUAAUUUAAUUUAUUUUUCUCAAAUAAAAUUUAAUAUUAAUUAAAAACAAAAAUAUCUUUUUUCUUUAAAGUGAAAUUGAAGAUCUCAUUCUUUAAAAAUAUAAUUAUUAUAUUUACUCUAUUAAUUUAUCCAUUAACAUAUUAAUUAUGAUUAUAAUUAUAAUUAUAAUUGGAGAUAUAAUUACUUUUCAUGCAUUAUUAUAAUUAUGAUAUAUAAAUUAAUUUUAAUAUUAUAUAUUUAUUUAUUAAAUAAUUUUAUAAAAAUUAAAAUAAAAAACUAAACUUAUUUAAAAAAAUAAAUUCUAUAAUAAAAAUAAUUUAAUAAAAUAUAAUCCUACAUUCCUUAAACCAAACUGAGUGUAGCAAUGCAAGGCCAAUAAACUGUAGUAUAGUAGUAGAUUAAUGAAUGAAAGUUAAAAAGAAGGGAAAAAAGAAGAAGGAAAAACAGAGAUAACCAUAAAUGAUACAGUUUGACAAGAAAAGAAGAAAGACAUGGGAGAGUAGAGGGGGUUGAAGGUGAAAGCUUGAAAAAGGGUUGAUGAAGUUCAACUGCAGUAAUGGGGGGUUUGGUUAGAAGUAUGAUAAUAGAGGAAUCUUUUUCUUUGAUGUUGUUGGAUCGGAUGAAAUGAAACAAAUGGACUCAACUUUUUCAUCCAUUAGGAGCGCAGGACCAGCAGACAAUGAAUGCCACCAAAGUCAAAACUCCAUUCCCGACCUAACUCUAACACUAACAUGCUCCCUCCGCUCAUGGUAAUUGGUAAGCAAACAGCAGUAGCAGUAAUAAUAGACAUAAAUAAAAUACUAGUAAAUAAUAAUGGGAAUGACUUUGUGGGCACAUUUUUUAUCAGUACGAAGUUGAUUGAGAUUUGAGAGUUAAAGACCAACUGGCCAUUUGUUCUUGGUGGACAAGAUAAUAGAGAGAGAGAAACCAAAUAUGAUGAAAGGACAAGCUCACAUGAGUCGAACCAGAUCAUUCAUGGGCCCCUACGUAGGAUGAGUAUUUACCUCCUCACCAUUCUCCGUCUUUCUCUCUCUUUGACACCCCCCCCCCCCUCAAAAAAGAAAAAAAAUCAGCUUUGGCUGUUUUCUUUAAAAGAAGAAGCUUCGAUGGAGGCAGAAAAAAACUGGGUUUAAA